CUCUUCUUCCUGUGGAAACAUUAACAUCACUUACCCUUUUCGAUUAAAAAGCCAGCCUCAUAGGUGUGGUUACAAUGAGCUUGAACUAGUGUGUGAGAAUAACCGCACCAUUUUCCCCAUGAAAUAUGGUUAUGGGAAUUUCUAUGUCCAACACAUCUCUUAUAGUAACAAAACCAUUCAAAUGUUAGACGUGAGUCUUGACGAGGAUAACUGCUCCAUUCCUCAUAGUUCCUACCCUUUCUACGUGGAUGCACUAAAUAUAUAUUCCUAUCAAACUACCACUGAACCUAGCAUCAUGUAUCUCGUAAAUUGCCCGAUCCAGAUCAACAACUCUUGGGUUUAUAUUGAUGCUUUUCGUUGUACCAAUACCCCUUCCUCUCGACCUCCUUACUUUUACUUUUUGGAUGAAAAUACUGCAAUGUCUAAUUUCCAUGAGUCAUGCACAGUUGAAGCGCAGGUUCCAAUCAUGGUUGCCAAUAUCACUGGCCUCUCUACUUUUGAUAUUUACACAAAGCUGUUGGAGGGAUUCCAACUCUCAUGGUCUUCGUAUGAUGAUAUGUCAAGGUGAGACUCAGUUUUUAACGCGUGAGGAUUUUUAAGUAUUCCAAACUAUUUGGUGCAUUUUAGUUUUUGAAAAGUAUUUAUUAUUUUUAGUUUUUAAUUUUUAAAUUACCUUUUUAACUAUGUAUAUAAAUUUUUAUAAUUAGAAUCACAAAUUUUUAUUACUGUAGUAUCUUCUUCAGACUUUGAUUAUUUACUUUUACUCUAAAUUUGUUUAAUGUAAAAUUUAAACAGAAGCAUUUAAAAUAUUUUAAACAGUGAAAGUGCGCAUUUCAUGGCCUUAUUAAGGAUAACGGUUUUGAUGUGCUUUCUUGAAUAUUAAUUAUAGAUUGCUCUGGCUGUUGCUGCAUCCGCUGCAAAUAUAUAUUCAAAGCAUCAUGGCUUUGUUUCAACCAGAUUAUUUCUAUGCACCUUAUAAAGGUAUUCGUUCUUUUUUGAGUUCAUUAAUAAUUUGAUUCUUAUUGGAUUGGCCUUUACUUUCCUGUAUAGUUGACUUGACUCUUUACGUGCAUCAUAAGUAAACUGUUAAAUUUAAUAGUUGGUUUAUUAAAAUAUUAAUAGUAUACGAAGUUAUAAAAAAUUUAUAAAAAUUAAUUAAUUAAUUUUAUAGUGGUGUUGUGUGAGUAUCGCAUAUAUGUAUACGUAUGUAUCCAAGUGACUACAUAAAAGAAGAUCCAUCAUAAAUGAUUCAUAAAUAAUUUUGAACUACAUUAAUUGGGUAUUUUUUAACUAGGUAUUUUUAUGAUGUUGUGAUUUUUUUGGUCAAAAUAAAAAUUAUGUGGAAUAAGGUCUAAAUUUACCAUUCUAUAUAUUUCGGAUAAUGGAUCAAACUUGUCAGCAUCUUUGAACGGGUGUAAUUUUGCCAUUAUACUUUUAAAUUAGUUAAAAAUGUAAUCAAAAGUUAAGACUAAUGUUAAUUUUUGACCAUUUUUGAAGUAAAUUAAAAUGUAUAAUGGUAAAAAUUGCACUUGUUUAAAAAUAAAAUAAUAAAUUUGAUCCAUCACCUUAAAUAAACUAGUGUGUGUAAAUUUAAAUUUUAUCCCAAAUUAUGUUAUGAAUUUUGUUGGGGAAAAUAUGGCAGCACAUACCCAACUUAAAUUGGUAAAUGACAUAUGCAUAGCAUAUAAUCAUGUUGUCCAACUAAUUAAUAUAUAUAUUGUUAUGUAAUUUUUUUUUUGUGAAACAGGAAUUAUAUUGCUAAGAACACUUUUGGGGAUAAUUUGCUUGAUUAUAUUGGUUAUACGCAAAUUAAAAAGGAGGCAUUUGUCGAUGGAUGACAUGAUUGAGAAUUUUCUUCAGAGUCAAAACAAUUUAAUGCCUAUAAGAUAUUCUUAUUCUGAAAUAAAAAGAAUGACGGAAGGUUUCAAGAAUAAACUAGGACAAGGAGGAUAUGGCUCUGUGUUUAAAGGAAAACUUCGAAGUGGUCAAUUUGUUGCGGUAAAAUUGUUAAACAAAUCAAAAGCUAAUGGUCAAGAUUUCAUCAAUGAAGUUGCAACUAUUGGAAGAAUUCAUCAUGUUAAUGUAGUAAGACUCAUUGGAUUUUGUGUGAAGGGAUCGAAACAAGCUCUUGUAUAUGACUUCAUGCAAAAUGGAUCCUUAGAUAAAAUAAUAUUUUCAACUGAAAGUAACACUUUGAGUUGGCAAAAAAUGUUUGAGAUUACAUUGGGAGUGGCUCGAGGUAUUGAAUAUUUACAUAGAGGUUGUGAAAUGCAAAUUUUACAUUUUGAUAUUAAGCCACAUAACAUUCUUCUAGAUGAGAACUUCAUCCCGAAAGUUUCAGAUUUUGGCCUUGCAAAAUUGUAUUCGGUGGAUGAUAGUAUUGUCUCUCUCACGGCUGCAAGAGGUACAUUAGGAUAUAUGGCUCCUGAAUUGUUUUAUAAAAAUAUUGGAAGCAUCUCAUAUAAAGCUGAUGUUUAUAGUUUUGGAAUGAUGUUAAUGGAAAUUGUCGGAAGGAGAAAAAAUGUGAAUGUCUCUGCUGAACAUUCGAGUCAAAUUUAUUUUCCAUCAUGGAUUUAUGAUCGACUUGAAGAAGGAGAUAACAUAGAGCUUAGAGAUGUAACGGAGAAUGAAAACAAAAUUAUGAGGAAAAUGUUAAUAGUAGCCUUUUGGUGCAUACAGAUGAAGCCCACAGAUCGUCCUUCAAUGAGCAAAGUCUUGAAGAUGCUUGAAAGUGAAGUUGAGCUCCUUGAAAUGCCUCCCAAGCCUGCUUUCUCUUGAAAUGUCAACCAAAUCAUUUGGUGUUGUAUUAUAAGUAAUAUUUAAUAUUGUAUGUUAAGCAAUGUUUCACUACUUUAUUAUAUUACUUUUAUAAUUUUUAUAGUAGAAACCUUAAGCUUGAGGCAUAAUCUUCUCUCUUCCAAAAAAAAACAAAAGAAACAAAAACAAUAUAGAGUGGUGAUGAAGAUAGUAUAGCAAGGAAAAGAAGGAUACUGAGUUGGAGUUUUGAGCCUGCGAAGGUAUUAUUUUAGGAGAUUUGUAAUGGUAUCUUGUUAGUAUUUUGUUUAUAUAAAAAGUCUUUUGUUCAUACAAAGGGCAAAGACUUUAAAUAGCAUUGUCUAUACAAUCAUUAUGUUAAUGCAAAUAGUUAACCAAGUUUUUAAAAAAAUUAAAGAUUUUUCUAAACCAUGUUUGGAAUUAUAAAUUUUUUAUUUAAAAAAUGUAAAUUAUUUGAGUUUUCUCUCUUAAUUAAAAAAGUCAAAUGUUAUCGAAUUCAAAUAUUUAUUUAAAACGAUUCAAAAUCAAAUUCAAUUUAAUUCAAAUUAAAUGACAAAAAUUAAAAAUUUGAAUCCAAAAAUAUGUGAAUUUAAAAUGAUAUUAAUACAAUCUACCUUCAACAUAACUCGAAUCUAAAACGAACCGAGCUCAUAAUGAUCCAAAACCCAAGAUUUAUUUGAUCCAAAACUUAUAAAAACUUAUAUUUAUAACUCCAAAAAAUCCAAAUUAUAAUUAAAUAAAUUUAUUUAAUAGCUAAAUGAGUAAAUGAUUAUUUUUUAAGUGAAAAUUUUAAGACACACAAGCACCUUUUUCUCGUCAAUGCUUUUUCUUUGCACAGAAAAAGCGCAUAGGAAUGGCAUGGUCAACUACUCUGCUUCACCUUCACUUCAAAUUCCCUCCGGUUUCUUCUCAUCAAUUGCCACAUUCCCUCCCCAAAAAAUCCCCAAUCUUCCUAAACCCUAUCCCUAUAAUUCCCAAUUCCAAACACCCCAAAAUGCAAUUCCUUCACAGACCCAACGCGUUUCCAGGCCAAGGCGCAGUAUCAAAAGCCAUGGACAUCAUCCAAUCCUCUCUGCCCACGUGGCAAUCGGCCUUCCUCAGCAACCUCGUGAUCUUCGUUGUCGGAACCCCACUUUUAAUAGCGGGACUAUCUCUCUCCGGAAUUUGCGCUGCCUUCUUGCUUGGCACUCUCACUUGGCGCGCUUUUGGGUCUUCUGGGUUCCUCCUCGUUGCUUCUUACUUCGUUAUAGUGAGUCAUUACAAAGUCUAUGGAUUUUAUUUGAAUUAUAGGAUUUAAGUUAAAUUUAGAAAUGGGGUUCUGAUUUUUGUUCCCAUUUGGUAUAAAGUUUACGCUUUGGAGGACAAGUUUCAUUGUUUGGUAAAUAUGGCAAAGGAAAAGAAAUUUAGUUUAUGUCAAAAAGAUUUCAUGUGACGUAGUUUGUUAUUUAAGUGUGAUUUGUUUUUGUUUAAAGAAUUGGAUUACACUAGGUGAAAUCAGGUCAAAACCAUAACCAAAAUAUUUUUUCCAAAAUUUCUUUAUUUUCAUUUGUUUUCCUCUUGGUGGGGGGCAGGUGGAGGAGCCAGGGAGAAUUUAUGGGUUCUCGCAGUUUUAGACUAGUUUGAAACGAUAUAGUAUUGUUUUUCCUGCUUUCCUUUCUGAUAAUGGCUUGUUUUACUUGCAAAAUGAAUCUUGAAUUAGUUCCUCCUUCCCUCUUCUGAUUUUCCCUACCCAUAUUUCUAGUUGAAGAUAAUAGUUUCAAAUCAUGCUUGAAAACUAUAUUACAAAAUACUUGUAAUAUCAAACAAUUUUGUGUGGCAUUCGAGUUUCUAAUUUGAAUGGAGAAAUAAUUGGGAUGGAAGUGGUAUUAAAUUUAGAGGAAAGAAACAAGAAUGCCUUUUGCAACAUUACAAAGAAAAGAAAAGAAAACCUAGUAUAAAACUUCGGAAGAUGCUUGAUUAUAAGGUGCUGGGCUUUUGAGGACCUGAGACUUCAUAAUACUUUAUAAUUCUCUAGAUCUUCAGGCAAUCUUACAGCUCUUUGUCAUGCCUCUAAAACAAAUGCGGUAAAACCAUGCUCAAUUGUUCAAAUUGUUAUGCUCAAUUGAGAACUCCUGACCUGUUAUGUGUGUGUGGAGAUGAUAACACCAAUGAAUGGCCUUGUUAUACGGAUGACCGCUCAUGAUAAUUGCUACUUCAAAAAUUAUUGGCUUAGAUUUUGCUGCUGUGUUUUGAAACUUGUUGGCAUGCCUCACGAAUGCUGCGAAAUGUGCAGAAGGUUUCUGAGAUCUUGCUGCCAUCUAAGAAGAAAGAAUAGGUGAAAUUGUACAGGUACUAUGAAUAUGAUGUAAUGUUUAGCUUUUUUAUAGGGACUUCCUUUUUGUAUAGUGAACUUGGUUGCAUUGGAAUGAGUCUGUUCUCUGGGAAGAAUCACUGUUCUGAAAUUUGUUAAGUCUGAUCACAAUUGCAACCAGGAGCGGCAUGCCUUGCUUUUCUUCUCAUAGGGCAUGAGGGUAUCCCAUCAGGGUUCUUUUUGUGAACCCCUCUUAUGAAAUAACAUCUUCUAUGCCUUUCCAAAAAAAAAAAAGUAACAAUCACAUGGCAUAAUUUUUUCUUACAAUAUGAGAGUACUACAUCAGAGUUUCUUAAUGCACUAAGAAAAGUUAGAGAUAAGGUCUAAGAAAAUAUCAAUUUCAAGAAGAAACAAAUAACACUAGAAUCAUAUUUUACAAAAAUAUCAUAAUUGAGUCAUGUAUAUAAAUAAUUUUGAUGUAUGAGGAAAUUAUUAAUUUAUAUAUCAAGUGAGAUCUAUGUGUUUUUUUUCAAAAUGUAUUAUCUUAUUAAUUUAACAAAUUAUUAAUUUAUCAUGUUGAUCUCAAAUCAGGACCAACCAAAAUUAAUAUUUAUUCAAAAUUAUUAAUUUAUCAAGUAUUAUUUAUAGAAGAUUUGUUGUACUUCUUUGUAAUUCACUCUAAAUAAAAGGGUAUGUUGAAACAAGCGGAAUUUAGAUCCCUUAUGGUUCUUGCUACAUUUAAGUACUAUUAAUGUCAUUUAUGCUGGUUAUAAAGAUCUGACAUUUUAUUUAGAAACAAAAUUUGUAGAGUGUCAAGCUUUAAUAGCUUUUUUUUUUUGUUGCUUUUUAAUGUUUAUAUUCGUUGCUAUAUACUAUUUUUUUCCCUAUCAAACCAUUCUUUCAUGCUUACAAAUUUAAAUUUGUGGUGUGCAAAAAUUGUUGGUGUAUUUUCAAAAAUCAAAGGUUAUGUCACAUAAUCAAAAGCUAUCUUAGCUCAAAGGUUUGUCACAUAAAGUGACAUAGUGUGACUAUUGGAUUGUAGACAGGUUAUNUUGGUGUAUUUUCAAAAUCAAAUGUUAUGUCACAUAAUAAAAAGCUAUUUUAGCUCAAAGGUUGUCACAUAAAGUGACAUAGUGUGACUAUUGGAUUGUAGACAGGUUAUUGUUUCAUUAGAUAUGAAAAGUUAUUGUUUCAAAUUAUAACUCAAAGAUUAUGAUUUAUGGAAUGAAUAGUUGUCCUUUCAUUAGAUGAUUAUUGAAACAAUACAUUUAUCUUAAAGUUGUGUCUAGCAAAAUGUAAAGAUGUCUUUUAGACAAAAUGGUGUCUUAAUAAAAGGGUUGUGUCCUUGAAGAAGAGACACUUGCAAGCCUAUGUAAAGGGCUUGUUGCCAACCAUUUUUACACAUCAAAUCAAAAACAAAACAAGAACAGAAAAUCAAGAGUAAGAAAGUGUUGUGUUCUAUUAACAUAAACACUUAAGUUCCCAUCAACUACAAAAGCAUCAAAAUUUCUUAUAAUCUACUUGUUGUAGAAAGUAAGCUCUAAAGCCAAACAACUUUGCAAACCCUUAGAUAUAUCUAGUGGUCUACUCUCGUAAAGUGCAAGACAAAGUUAAACGUUAGCUUCAUUGUAUCCUUAAAACUAUUCGCAUUAUUUCUCUUUGCAUACUGAGUGGUGGGGAUGAAAUAAGUUUUAAAAAUAAUGUCUAUUGAAAAGCUCGCCUUAAAAUCAAUUUUGUUGGUUCUUAAAUUUCAUCUAAACCUCAUUUGCACCAACAAAAAUGAACAGGUACCUACUUUACUUUAUUAUUCUACUUUUAUUAUAUAAUUUUUAUAGUCUCCUUUUUCAUCUUAUAUACGGAAUCAGAUCCAUAUAGAAACCUUAAGCUUGAGGCAUAAGCUUCUCUCUUAUGAAAAUAAAAUAAAAUAAAAUAAAAUAAAAAUCAAGAGCAGUAUAUAUACCAUUGUGAAUGAAUAAAGUAUAAAAUCAUAGUGCCUUUUGAGAUACAAAACAUUGUGAAUGCGACAAGAAGUAUUAGUUGUAAUGUGUUAAUGGUCAUUUUUAAAUCAAAUUAAAAAUGUUACUAUUAGCAAUAUCAAGAAUUGCCAAGGAGAAAUUCAUUGAUAAAAUGACAAAUACCCGAAUUCUCUUCAUUGGCAACUUUACUAAAAAUCACUUUCAACGAAAAAAAAUUAGUAAAAGAUCUUCCAUAUUAUCUCUAUAUAUAGUAUAAUAUCAAAAUUUAGUAUUCUAAAAAUUUUAUUUUAUGCUGUUUUAGUACUAACAUAUUUUAAACAAUAUCAUUGUUUAUAUUAUUAUUACACGGACACUACUUACAUAUAAUAUAUAUAUAUAUAUAUAAAAGAUAAUAGCAUUGUUAGCUUUAUUAGAAUGAAUAAUUGAUUUUUUUUAAAAAUAGAAUGAAUAAUCUAACGAGAUGAAUUGGAUUUUAAAAACUUUUUUUGACAAAAUAAAAUCUAAAAAAAAAACACAUCAAAUAAUAAAAUCAAAACCAUUAAAUAAAUAUUUAACUGAAAAUAAAUGUAAUAAAAAUAAAUAGUAUAGGGUAAAAAUAUUUGCAAGAACCAUUUAUAAAGGUUCAAUCUUGUCUCUUGGUAUUUAUGUCACAAGUCUACUUUCUAAUCCAAAAGACAUGCAUAUUAAGUAAAGAUAGACAUUUAUUUAUAAAUCCAAGACUCAACUCAUCUCUUAUUAAUGUAAGAUCUAUCACAUUCUACCUCACCUAAUUGUUCAAUACGUUCGUUGCAUCGGCUCCUUUACUCAUAGAGGAGAGGGACCGUAUCUUGAUCUAAGUCUACCUCGAACCUGAUAUCUUUUAUAAAAGUUUCAUACUAGUUAAGAGUUAAGUUUGCUCUAAUACCACUAAUCACGAGUUCACAUUUCUAAUCCAAAAAAUAUACAUAUUAGAUAGAGAGAGGCCCUUAUUUGUAAAUCAAGACCCACCCAUAUGACACUUACAUUCUCUCUCUUAGUGUAGUAAAGAGUUCAAUACACUACUUAAUUCAACCAAUACAAAUACUAUUUUCUUGCGUAUCCAAAACAUGCAAAAAAUGCUCUACUUCCCUAUGUGAUACCUCAGAUGAAAUAAAUUAUUUCCUCAUCUUUAAAAGAAAAUACAAUAAUUGUAAAUUUUAUUUUUCUCCUAUUUUAUGUAACAGCCUCAACUUUGACUAAGGUUAUAAAUUACUUGUGUUGAACCAUUUGAUAACUUGCCAUGAGAUUUAAACAUAUGUAUUAAAUAUAUGAACAAAUGACAAUGUGUUUAAGGAUCUUGAAUGAUAAACUAUUAGGGUAAAAUACCCUUACCCCUCUAAGUUUUGAUUGAAAUUACAUGGAGGUCCAUUAGUUUUCAAAAUAGACACUCCGCCCCAAAAAAAUAUUUUUCACUGGACAUUUAGGUCCAGUUGUUAGUCAACCAUUAGUGUUUCCGUCAAUUUGAUGAUGUGAUAAGGGUAAAAACAUAAUUUCACCAUUGAUUAAUUUUUAAAAUUACUAUUAUAUAAUUUUAUUAAUUUUUUAAUUAAUUAAAAUAAAAAAGCUCCUCAAGGAGCAUUAAAGCUCCCUGGGAAGCACCAAUCGGGUGCUCCCCUCCCUUGAGGAGCACGAUGCUCUCUUUUUUAAAAUUUUUUUAAACAUAUAAUAUAAUUUUUAAAAUUUAUAUAAAAAAAAGAAAAGACAUUUUAGUCUUUUCCUAAUCUCUAUUAACGGUAUUUUCAUUUUUAGGACAAAGUGUCCAUUUCAAAAACUAAUAGACCUGCUUAAAAUUUGAACUAAAACUUAAAAGGUAGGGGUAUUUUACCCUAAAAUAUUAUGUUUUUGAUUAGAUUUUAGACCUUAAGCUAUGUGUUGAUAUGUUUUGACACUGAAUAUUGGUUAAUGUGGUGCAUACUAGUUGCAUUAAGAUGAAUAUUGAAAUAACAAAUCGUUUUGGAAGUCCAAAUUUGGAGUUAGGUAGUUUGAAGUGUUGAAAGUUUGCCUUUAGGAGAAAAUGUAUUGAUAAAUUCCUUGAUCUAUCAAUACAUUCAUGGCAGAAUGCCUUGGCAAAGCUUUCUAUCAAUACAUUCUAGAAUGUUUCGAUAGAUUUGGGCCAGGAGGCAUUCUAUAUGAAAACUCUCGAACAUUACAAGAACGUAUUGAUAGAUUUAAAAAGAUGGAUAUUUUGUAAAAAAGGUAUUUAUAGAUUUUCUUGAUCGAUCGAUACAUUUCAAGCAUAAAGCAUUCUUUUAAAUUUACUUCAAUAUGUUGGUACAUGUAUCGAUAGAUCUGAUGAAAAUUCGUGAAAAUGUAUCAAUGCAUGAUUGUAAGUCAGCAAAAAUAAAAGAGACUUUGGGCAUUCCACCCAUUUGAAAACACAAGGAAACAAAAGCUUUCCCUCCUUGCCUUUGAAACCCUAAAACCCCCUAGUAGAUUGGAACUAAUUUGGAGUACUUGGAAGCUUGGAAAUUCAUACUUAAGGUAAGAUCAAGCUUCCUAACAUUUUGAAUUACAUUUUAAUCGGUUCAAAAAUGAGAAUUUGACUAUGGUUUCAUCUCAAUUAUCUUCUCCUUGAGUUGUUGGGAUUUUGGAGUCUUAAGGGCUUAGAAUAGCUGCCAAGGUGAGGAAACCUAACUGUUUUGAACAUUGGAAACAAUGAAACCUAUGAUUUGGAUUGGUAGUUGGAUUUAGAAGCUCAGUUAGGCUUAGAAAAUCUGUGCAUGCUUUGAAAAAAGCUAAAGGUCUAGAAUUUAUGGAUUUGUUAGGUGAAGUGGGAACUUAGAGCUGUUGAUGAACUGAAAUUCUAUGUGGAAUGAUGGACGCAGUGUUUAGCUGAGUGUGAUGUCUUGGCUUCUUCUUGGAAGAAUGUUGCAGCACUAAAACUUUACUAUUUAGCAAUGUGAGUUACGUUAGAGAUAUUCUAGGUCAGUGGGGCAUUUUAUCUAGAAAUUAAGAUUUGAUGUAUGUAUGCACAAAUGUAUGCAUGUGCACUGCCAUGAAACAUGAUUGGUUGAUAAAAUGCUUAGAUGAACUAUGCAUAGGCCGAUGGGUUGAUUGAGCUCUAUUAUAGCUAUGUAUGUUAAUAAUAAAAACCUGUUUGAUAUUGGGUGAGCCAUGUGGUGGUGAUUGAGCUUGACUGUCUUAGUAUUCGCGACUAAAAAGUCUAUUGACCAUGCCUCUGCGCUUGUAUAAAACUUAUAACUUGAUACCUUUUUCUGUGGUAGCGUAUGAUUAUUGCUAAUUCUACGAAAUAAUGUUAUUAGUGAACUAUGGAAAAUCUGAAUUAUGAAAGUUGAUUGAGUUGCAUUCGUAAUUAUGCAUGUAUGAUGCCAAAUGGCUAUGUUAAUGACUUUUGCACAUGUAAUGGCGACACAAUUCCUAAUGGUAAUUGGUUUCGUCUUACGAGUGCUUUCUGGACGAUGAUAUGGUCUAGUUAGAAGGUGUCAUAGUCCCUGUGGUCUUGCUUACCAUUAGCAGUUUAGGCGUUGGACGUGUUUUGUUUACUUGGGAAGACCCUUCUCUUGUUACCAUCUUGAUGAUAACACAAUUUAAUUAGUUGACUUGACUGUCUUUUCAAUCCAAGACAAGUGAGCGAGAAAAACUGCACCAUUGCUCCAUGAAACCUUACAACUCUUAGACGUGAGUCUUGACCUCAUCGAUAGUUCCUAUCCUUGCUACACUCCUUGUGGAAAAAGCCUACCACUCGGCAGAAGAUAUGGUAUGCAUCUCCCUCAUCAUACAUGCACCUUAACAUAGGGUCAUGUAUCUCUUAAAUUGUAGGAUGAAGAUGAAGUCUUCGGUUUACAUUGAUGCUUUCUCAUUGCACCAAUCGAUGUUCCUCUCCACAUUAUUUCAUUCUUCAGUCAAAUUAUUCAUUGUUAACAACUAACGGAAAUGUAAGUGUGGAUUAUUCACGUGACAUGUUAAAUAAUUUUUACCAUGAUAUUUUAUUACUGUUAACAGUACAAUCUGAUAAAAAGAAUAAAAUGAAACCAUUUUAAAAUAUUAUGUGUAAAAUAUAUGAAAAAAGAUUAUAGAUUUAAUUUGAUUACAUUGCUGCCGGACUUACCAAAAUAAUUGUAGAAGCAUGUCUAAUGAUUAUAGGCAUAGCUCUUCAAAGAAAAAUACUGUUUUAUACUUAACAAAAAGAUAAAUGUAAAAUAUAAAAUUGAUCAAUUUUGUUUAGAAUUAUUAUUUUAUAUAUUUUGAAAUUUUGAAAUUUCAAAAUAUAUAAUAUUAUUUAAGUCGUAUUAUAUAUUAUAUAAUUGAAGGGUUAUAUUAAUCGCCUUACUGUGCAGAUAUACUUGGAUGAAUUAUAAAGAUUUCUUUUCUAUUAGUUUCGCUACGUAUCAAUUGGUUGGACACAUUUUAUAAUAAAUAUAAGAGACCAUCAUAGUGCUUCUUCACAAACUAGGACCUUAAUCUCCUUCUCUCCCGCUGAAAUUUUAGGAUGCCAAGAGCAAAACUUCCAUUAUUUUGCCUCUUGGCUUUUGCUUUAUCUCUAUUCCCCGACUGAGGCUCUUCUAUCUGUGGAAAUGUUACCAUCAAAAAGCCCUUUAAGUUAAAAAGCCAACCUCUCAGGUGUGGAAACCGUGAGCUAGUAGUCGAGUGUGACGAUAAUAACCACACCAUUUUCCCCAUGAAAUAUGGGAAAUUCCUUGUCCAAGACAUCUCUUAUAAUAACGGUACAAUUCAACUUUUAGACGAGAGUCUUGGCAAUGAUAACUGCUCCAUUCCUCAUAGGUCCUAUCCUUUGUACAUCCCUUUUGCGAAAAAACAACGUCUCUAUGAAGAUACCACUGAAUUUAGCAUCAUGUAUCUCGUAAAGUGCACGAUGCAGAUCAACUACUCUCGGGUUUAUAUCGAUGCUUUUCGUUGCACCAAUACUCCUUCCUCUCUACCUCCUUACUUGUAUUUUUUGGAUAAAAAAACAGCAAAGUCUGAUUUCCAUGAGUCAUGCAGAAUUGAAGCCCAGGUUCCAAUCAUGGUUGCCAGUAUCACUGGCCUCUCUACUUCUGAUAUUUACACAAAACUGUUGACGGGGUUCCGACUCUCAUGGUGGGAUUAUGCUUAUCAGUUUGGCUGGCUGCGGUGGGACUCAAUUGUUAACGUGUGAGGAUCUUUAAGUAUUCCAAAAUAUUUGGUGCUGUUUAGUUUUUGGAAAUGUUAACUAUUUUUAUUAUAAAUAAACAAAUAAGAUAAAAAUUUUAGUCUUUAUUUCUUUUUAAAAAGUUGACAACAUUUUUAAAUUACUAUUUUAACUAUGUAUAUUAAUUUGUUAUCUAAAAUUUAAACUCGAUAUUUUUAAAGAAUUACAGACUUUAAUUCUAUUAAUGUAGUGUCUACUUCAGACUUCAAUUAUUUCCUUUAAAUAUGUUUAGUGUAAAAUUUAAAGAUAAGGAUUUAAAGCAUUUUUAACAGUAAAAGUGUGCAUUCCAUUUAACUUAUUAAGGAUUAGCGGUUUUGAUGUUCUUUCUUGAAUAUUAAUUAUAGAUUGCUAUGGGUUUUAAAAAAAAAAGGAAGUAUAGAUUGCUAUCCUUGGUCAACCUUUUGCUGGCUCCGCUGUUUAUAUUUAUUGAAAGCAACGCGGCUCUUCUGCUAGGCAUCCCAACAGAGGAUUCAUUGGUAGAUAACAAAGGUGUUCUUUCUUUUCUGAGUUUGUUACUAUUUUGAUUAUUAUUGGAUUUACCUUUACUUUCCUAGGAUCUAUUAACACUUAGUUCUCGAAUCGGUAAAAUCUUAGCAUGAAUCCAGAUUUAUAUUUAUAUAUCAUUAAUUUAACAAUUGUAUUUCGUAAUCUAUUUACUUAUAUCAUGCAUGAUAAAUUUUAAGUUAAUUGAAAAUAUUUAAUUAUUUAAAUGAGAACAUUAAAAUUUUGACCAUUAAAUAUAUAUUAAAAAACCAAUAUUCUUGAGCAAUACGAUAUGGAUUAUCACAUUGAUUUGAAAUUUUAAAUGUAUGAUGAGUACGAAUAGUGUAUGAAAUUAUAAAAAGGUGUAAAACUUAAUUAAUUUUUAACUUGAGCCCUCAAAUUUAUAUAGUUUGUAUGAGUAUUGCAUAUAAAGUAUAUGUAUGUACAAAGAGAUUCCAAUAAAGGAUAAAAUUAUUUAAUAAGAGACGAUAUACUAUAAAUAAUUCAUGAAUAAUAUUGAACUACAUUAAUUGGGUUUUUUUCAGUUAGGUAUUUCUAUGUUGUUACGAUUUUUUUGGUCAAAAUAAAAAUUUUGUCCAAGUUUAUCAUAUUACUUGAAUGAGUACAAUUUUGUCAAUAUACUUUUAAAUUUGUUAAAAGAGAUCAAAAGUUACAAAAUGAACUAAAAUGUACAAUGAUAAAUAUUACACUCGUUAAAAAAAUAAAUAGUAAAUUUGAUCCAUCACCUUAAGUCUAGUGGUGAUAAAUUUAAACCUUAUCUCAAAUUAUUUUAUGAAGUUUGUUUGUGAAAUAUGGCAACAUAUACACAAAUUAAGUUAGUAACUAGCAUGUACAUAUUCUAUAAUCUUGUUGUCCAACUAAUUGGUUUAUAUAUAUGUUUUGUACUCUCUUUUUUUUUUUAUGAGAAACAGGAAUUAUAUUGUUAAGAACUUUUUUGGAGAUAACUUGCUUGAUUGUAUUUGUUAUACACAAAUUAAAAAUGUGGCAUUUGUCUAUGGAUGACAAGAUUGAGAAUUUUCUUCAGAGUCAAAACAAUUUAAUGCCUAUAAGAGACUCUUAUUCUGAAAUAAAAAGAAUAACAGAUGGCUUCAACAAUAAAUUAGGUCAAGGAGGAUAUGGCUCUAUAUUUAAAGGAAAACUUCGAAGUGAUCAACUUGUUGCAAUAAAAUUGUUAAACAAAUCAAAAGCUAACACCCAAGAUUUCACCAAUGAAGUUGCAACUAUUGGAAGGAUUCAUCAUGUUAAUGUGGUAAGACUUAUUGGAUUUUACGUGAAGGGAUCAAAACAAGCUCUUGUAUAUGACUUCAUGAAGAAUGGGUCCUUGGAUAAAAUUAUAUUUUCAACUGAAAAUAACACUUUGAGUUGAGAAAAAAUGUUUGAGAUUGCAUUGGGAGUGGCUCAAGGUAAUGACUAUUUACAUAAAGGCUGUGAAAUGCAAAUUUUUCACUUUGAUAUCAAGCCACAUAACAUUCUUCUAGAUGAGAAUUUUACUCCAAAAGUUUCAGAUUUUGGCCUCGCAAAUUUGUAUUCAGUGGAUGAUGAUAUUAUUUCUCUCACAGCAGCACGAGGUACGCUAGGAUAUAUGGCUUCUGAAUUGUUUUACAAAAAUAUCAGAGGUAUAUCAUAUAAAGCUGAUGUUUAUAGUUUUGGAAUGAUGAUAAUGGAAAUUAUCGGAAGGAGAAAAAAUUUGAAUGCCUCUGCUGAACAUUCAAGUCAAAUUUAUUUUUCAUCAUAGAUUUUUGAUCAAUUAGAUGAAGGAGAUACCAUGGAGCUUGGAGAUGUGACAGAAAUUGAAAACAAAAUUAUGAGGAAAAUGGUAAUAGUAACCUUAUGGUGCAUACAGAUGAAGCCCACAGAUCGUCCUUCAAUGAGCAAAGUCUUGAAGAUGCUUGAAAGUGAAGUUGAGCUCCUUGAAAUGCCUCCCAAGCCUUCUUUCUCCGGAAAUAUCAACUAAAGAUAGUAAAAAUUCUCCCUGCACACGUGGCAAUCGGCCUUCCUCAGCUACCUCGUGAUUUUCGUCGUUGGGACACCACUCAACAUCGUGAUCUUGCUAAAUCUGAUGCCCUUAAGUCGAUUACUUUUUCUGUAUUUAGUUUUUUGAGUGGUACGUAGUUUUUGUUUCCACCGAGAUCUAGCAGGCAGUGUUUGUAUUCUCUUUACCACCUUGGUUUGUUUUGUUUCUGCUACUUCUCUAUUUCCCUGUAUGCGACCUUUGAUGAAAUAAAUCAUUUCCUCACUUAUAAAAAAAUUGCAAGAAAAUGUAAAUUUUUUCCCUUAUUUUAUAAAAAGAAAAUGUGUUAUAUCUUAUAUUAUAUUUUUAUGUACCUAUGUAUCUAUAGUAUUAGUUGUUUAAACUUUUUGGGUGUAAUUCAUUUUCAUAGAUAAUUAACAGCUUUUAUAAAAGUGCAGUCUUUGUCACUAUAUAUGCAUGUAAAUCUCUCUUUAACUGCAAUUGUUUUGCCCAAAAUACUUCUUAUAAAAGAUUGUACAGAGCAGCCAAAUUUGUAAAGUUCUAUCCUAAGUAAAAUAUUUUUAAUGACACAAAUUAAAAAAAUUAAAUGUCAAAUUUAUUGUGGUGUGUUUUUCCCCCUUUGACUCUAGACUCUAGCUUAUUAAAUUUUCAAAGGAAGAUUUGCUUUCAUUUGCAGCCAGAGAAUGAUUAGCAGAGCAACCAAGAUAAAAUUAUCUUAGUUCUUAUUUAAUCUUACUUUUUAAACUUUUUUAUACAUAUAAAAAAAUGCAAAAUAUGGACUGAUUAGUCCUUUUAGACUUGAUUGGUCGAAGGUGAAAUUUUAAGACUAAACGGUGAAUUUACAAGAUUGCUCGAAUGAUUUUAUUCCUAUUUGAGUGGAAAAUCAGCUAAGAGCUAUGAUUGGCUUGUGGUAAGGUGGUUGGCUUUAAUUAGUUGACUUGACUGACUUUUCGAACGAAGACAAGUGAGCAAGAAUAACCACACAUUUUCCCCAUGACAUAUAUAUGAGAAUUUCUAUGUGGAAAAAGCCAUAUAAAUCUUGGAGGUGAGUCCUGACAAAAAUAACUGCUCUAUUCCUCAUAGUUCCUAUCCUUGCUACACCCCUUGUAGAAAAAGCUUACCAUGCCACUCGGUAGGAGAUAGGGCAUACAUCUCCCUCAUCAUAUGUAUGCAUGCACGUCAAUAUAGGGUCAUGUGUAUCUCUUAAAUUGCAGGAUGAAGAUGAAUUCUUCGGUUUACAUUGAUGCUUUCCAUUGCACCAAUCGAUGUUCCUCUCCACGUUAUUUUGUUUCUUCAGUCAAAUUAUUCUCUGGUUAACAACUAAUGAAAAUGUAAGGAUAGAAUAUUCACGUAAUAUGUUACAUAAUUUAUACUAUAAUAUUUUAUCAUUGUUAACGGCACAAUUUGAUAAAAAGAUAAAAAAGAAAUCAUUUUAUUAUAUUAUGUGUAAAAUACAUGAAAAGAAAAGAUUACAAAUUUUAUUUGAUUACAUUACUGCAGAACUUACAAAAAUAAUUAUAGAAGCAUGGCUAAUGAUUAUAGGUAUUAUUUGGAUAGAUAUUUUUCUCAUUUUUCUUGUUUGACUGGUUGUAACUUGUCUUCAAAUUUUGAUAUCCACCAAAAAACUAUCCAAGAGCUUGAUUGUUUUAGAUAGUCAUUCAACAGCUUGACUGACUUUAUAUUUGUCUGUGCAACAAAUUUGAAAAUUUUUUUUAAAAAAGUCAAUAUUGAAUUUUAGACAUGCAUAAAUAGCAUAAUUUUUUAUUAUGCAGUGAAAAUAUAUGUAUAAAGUAUGAGGAAAGAUCUACUUAUACCGGUAUAAAAUUAAAUUAGUUUUACACUUUUUCAUGUCUUUUUAUUUCAUUUAUAUUUUGUUAAUCUAACCGUUCAUUUUAUGUUUUAUUCAUAUAAAUAUUCAUAGAUAGCAAAUUUCAAGUUAAUUGGAAAUGACUAACUACAUAUUUGAGAAAAAUAAAAUUUCAAUCAUUAAAUAUAUAUUGAAAAAAGGCAUUAUUCUCGGUUGAUGUAAUAAGAAUGUUGAAUUAAUAUGAGACUUUACGUGUAUGAUAAAUGCGAAUAAGUUGUUAAAUGUAAUGAUUCUAUUUGUUAAAAUAUUAAUUCCCUAAGAAGUUAUAGAAAAAUGUAAAGUACUUAGUUUUAGAGAUACAAGGCGAUUCCUCUUGGCCGGUAUAAAGUAUUGCUAUUUAGGCUUUUGUGUGCAAUUUUUUUUCAUAGCUAAUUGUUGUUGAAAGUGUGCAAUCUUUACUACUGUAUGCAUGUAAUAUUUUUGUCCAAAAUAUUAGCAAAAAAAAUGUUUUGAACUGUGAACUCCGUAAAAGUUCUAUACAAAAGGAUUUUAAACAACAAUAGUUAAAGAAAAAAAAUAAAUAAAUGAAAAUUUAAUUAUUAUAGUGUGUUUUUUCCACUUGUUCAAAGUAAGAUUUGAUUUCAAUUGCAGCCCUAGAUAUAAUCAGCAAAGCAAUGAAGCUAACAUUAUCCAAAGAUUUAAUGUUUCUCGUUAAACUUUUUUAUAUAUAAUUCUCCAAAGAAAAAUACAGUUUUAUACUUAAAAAAUAAAUGUAAAAUAUGAAAUUGAUCAAAUUUUUUCAGAAUUAUUAUUUUAUAUAUCUUGAAAUUUUGAAAUUCCAAAAUUUAUAAUAUUGUUUAAGUCAUAUUAUAUAUAUUAUUGAGGGUUUAUAGUAAUAUCCCUACUGUGUAGAUUUACUUGGAUGAAUUGCAAAGAUUUCUUUUCCAUCAGUGCCGCUACGUACCAAUUUGUUAGGUACACGGAUUUUCUUCUUUCUUGUUUGUUUGCGUGGAAAAUCAUCAAAAAGCUCUAUGACAGGCUUGUCGUUAAAGGUGUUUUGCGGGUUGGGUUUAAUUAGUUGACUGACUUUUCAAAAGAAGACUUGGUUUUAACAAUAAAUGUAAGAACUGCUUCACUUGCCUCUAUCAAAACGAGGACCUUAAUCUCCCACUGAAACUUUAGGAUGCUUAGCGUCAUACUUCCAUUACUUUGCCUCUUGGUUUGGCUUCAGUGCAAAUCUCCAAUCCAGUCGUUACAAAAAAAGACAAGUACUGUGGCUUUUCUUUCUGUGGAAACAUUAACAUCACUUACCCUUUUCGAUUAAAAAACCAGCCUCGUAGUUGUGGUUACAAUAGGUUUGAACUAGUGUGCCAGAAUAACCGCACCAUUUUCCCCAGGAAAUAUGGGAAUUUCUAUGUCCAACACAUCUCUUAUAGUGACGAAACCAGCCGACUUUUAGACGAGAGUCUUGGCAACGACAACUGCUCUAUUCCUCAUAGUACCUAUCCUCGGUCCACCCCUUCUGCAAAAAAACUAUAUCCCUGGCGUACCUUUUCAUGGGAAGAAAGAAAUUUCUAUCAAACUACCCCUGAAUUUAGCGUCAUGUAUCUCAUAAAUUGCACGAUGCAGAUCAACUACUCUUCCGUUUAUAUCGAUGCUUUUCGUUGCACCAAUACCCCUUCCUCCUCUCAACCUCCGUACUUUUACUUUUUGGAUGAAAAUACAGCACCGUCUGAUUUCCAUGAGUCAUGCACUGUUGAAGCCCAAGUUCCAAUCAUGGUUGCCAGUAUCAUCGGCCUCUCUACUUUUGAUAUUUACACAAAGCUGUUAACGGGAUUCCAACUCUCAUGGUUCACUUCCUCUUAUGAUUAUGUUUGGCUGCGGUGGGACUCAAUUGUUAACGUGUGAGGAUUUUUAAGUAUUCCGCAAUAUUUGGUGUUGUUUCGUUUUUGAAAAAUAUUUAUUAUUAUUAAUUUUUUUUGGAUCGUAAUAUUUAUUAUUUUUAGCAUACAUAAAUAUGAUAAAAAAACAAAUAUCAAAAUAUUUAGUUUUGAAUUCUUUUAAACUACUUUUUUAAUUAUGUGUAUAAAUUUGUAUCUAAAAUUUAAACUCGAUAUUUUAAUGUAAAAUUUAAAGAGAAGGAAUUAAGACAUUUUCAACACUAAAAGUGCGCAUAUCAUUUGCCUUAUUAAGGAUUAAUGGUUUUGAUGUGCUUUUUUGAAUAUUAAUUAUAGAUUGCUAUUCUUGCUCAAGCUGUGGUCGGUUCUGCCGAAGAUACUUGUACAAGGCAACAUAGCUUUUUUUGAACCAGAUUCUAUCGAUGGAUUUAGUAAAUGUAUUCUUUCGGUUCUGAGUUCAUUAAUAUUUUGAUUAUUAUUGGAUUUGCCUUUACUUUGAUAGAAUCUAUUUUCAUUUAUUUUCUGAUUUGGUAAUAUCUUUGCAGGAAUCCAGAUUCUUUGUGUUGCAAUAACAGGUACUAAAUUCUAUACUUAUUUAUUUACUCUUAAAUUCUACAAUUAUUAUAAUGUAUGACAUCAAUAAAUAUAUUAUUAUAUAAAUGGAUUAAAAAAUUAUUAAAUUAUUUAAAAAAUUCCUAAACUAUUUUACAACAAUUCCAAUAAGCUUUUCUUAAUUUUUAUUGCAUUCAAUCAAGCUAUUAUAUUUUUAUUUUGAACCAAAUAAACCCUUCUAAGUAACAGUUAACUAAUGUUAUUAGUUCAAAUGUCACUUGUUAUUUCAUACUCAUGUGACAUUGAUAUGAUGCUGACAUGGAGGAUGAAAAUGCCACAUAACCAUGUCAUAAUGCCAUAUACUCUGAUAUGUCAACAUAAUAUAUCCAUGUCAUAUGAUAUAAAAUAACAAAUGGUAUUUUGAUUAAUAACAGUUAGUUAACCAUUAGUUAUAAUGACUUAUUUGGUUCAAAAUAAAUGUUUAAGAGCUUGAUCAUACACAAUAAAAGAAUGAGAGUUUAUUUGAAUUUUUCUAAAUAGCUCAAGAAAUUUUUAAGUAUUAUGCAUUUUUGUGUGUGCGUGUGUGUAUAUGUACCAGUGUGAAAUUAAUUAAAUUUACACCUUUUCAUAUUUUUUAUAAGAUUUAUAUUUUGUUAAUUUAACCGGUGUAUUCCAUAUAUACUCAAUUUACAUAGAUCAUGCAUAAAAAAUUUUAAAUCAAUUGAAAAUAUCUAAUUAUUUGUAUAAUAAUAAUAAAAUUUUAACCAUUAAAUAUAUAUUUAAAAAACAAUAUUCUCUACCAAUGUGAUAUGGAUAUUGCACUGACUUGAAACUUUUUAUGUACGAUUGGAUGCAAAUAAAGUUAGCUUGCUAAAACUUAAUUGUAUAUGAAAUUAUAAAAUGGUGUAUAUAUAUAUAUAUAUAUGAGUAUUGCAUAUAUGUAUAUGUAUGUAUAAAGAGAUUCAAUAAAGGAUAAAAUAAUUAAAUAAGAGAAGAUCUACUAUAAAUUAUUCAUAAAUAAUAUUGAACUACAUUAAUUAGGUUUUUUUAGUAAGGUAUUUUUAUUUUGUUACGAUGUUUUUUGGUCAAAAUAAAAAUUAUGUCCAAAUUUAACAUUUUACUUUGGUGAUAGACCAAAUUAUGAUCAUAUUUAAAUGAGAAUAAUUGGCACUAUACUUUUAAAUUGGUUAAAAAUGAUCAAAAGUUAUGAAAUAAACUCAAAAGUACAAUAAUGAAAGUUACACUCAUUCAAAAAUGAAUAGUAAAUUUAAUCCAUCAUUUUUUUUAAAAGGUGAAUUUUUAUUAACCUCAACACUAUCAUGCCAUUUUGAUUCUCAAGCUUAGAUUGCAAGAGACUCUCAUGACAUAAAUAGUUAGUAAGCAGCCUGUACAAUUUCCAAAAAGAAUAUGCUACUCAAUAAGAUUUUGGUAGCAACUCAGGAUAAAGAAACUAACGUACCUUAAGCAGAUUGGUGGUAAAUUUGAACCUUAUCUCAAAUUAUUCUAUGAAGUUUGUUUGUGAAAAUAUGGCAGCUAGCACAUGCCCAAAUUAAAGUUGUAAAUAACAUAUACAUGUUCUAUAAUCAUGUUUUCCAACUAAUUGAUUUACAUAUUGUUUUGUAUUUUUUUUUUUUUGAGAAACAGGAAUUCUUUUGCUAAGAACUUUUUUGGGAAUAAUUUGCUUGAUUGUGCUGGUUAGACGAAAAUUAAAAAGGAGGCAUUUGUCGAUGGAUGACGUGAUUGAGAAUUUUCUUCAGAGUCAAAACAAUUUAAUGCCUAUAAGAUAUUCUUACUCUGAAAUAAAAAGAAUGACUGAUGGUUUCAAGAAUAAACUUGGUCAAUGAGGAUAUGGCUCUGUGUUUAAAGGAAAACUUUGACGUGGUCAACUUGUUGCGAUAAAAUUGUUAAACAAGUCAAAAGCUAACGGCCAAGAUUUCAUCAAUGAAGUUGCAACUAUUGGAAGGAUUCAUCAUGUUAAUGUGGUAAGACUUAUUGGAUUUUGCGUGAAGGGAUCAAAACAAGCUCUUGUAUAUGACUUCAUGAAGAAUGGGUCCUUGGAUAAAAUUAUAUUUUCAACUGAAAAUAACACUUUGAGUUGGCAAAAAAUGUUUGAGAUUGAAUUGGGAGUGGCUCGAGGUAUUGAAUAUUUGCAUAGAGGUUGUGAAAUGCAAAUUUUACAUUUUGAUAUCAAGCCACAUAACAUUCUUCUAGAUGAGAACUUUACUCCAAAAGUUUCAGAUUUUGGCCUCGCAAAGUUGUAUUCAGUGGAUGAUGAUAUUAUUUCUCUCACAGCAGCACGAGGUACAGUAGGAUAUAUGGCUCCUGAAUUGUUUUAUAAAAAUCUCGGAGGUAUCUUAUAUAAAGCCGAUGUUUAUAGUUUUGGAAUGAUGCUAAUGGACAUUAUUGGAAAAAGAAAAAAUUUGAAUGCCUCUGCUGAACAUUCAAGUCAAAUUUAUUUUCCAUCAUGGAUUUAUGAUUGAUUAGACGAAGGAGAUAUCAUGGAGCUUGGAGAUUUGAUAGAAAAUGAAAACAAAAUUAUGAGGAAAAUGGUAAUAGUAGCCUUAUGGUGCAUACAGAUGAAGCCUAUAUGGAUCGUCCUUCAAUGAGCAAAGUCUUGAAUAUGCUUGAAAGUGAAGUUGAGCUCCUUGAAAUGCCUCCAAAGCCUUCUUUCUUUGGAAAUGUCAACUAAAGAUAGUAAGAAUUCUCCCCGCACAUGUGGCAAUCGGCCUUCCUCAACUAUCUCGUGAUAUUCGUCAUUGGGACACCACUCAACAUCAUGAUCUUGCUAAAACUGACAACUUCUUCUGUAUUUAGUUUUUUGAGUGGUACGUAGUUUUUGUUUCCACCUAGAUCUAGUAGGCAGUGUUUGUAAUUUCUCUACUACCUUGGUUUGUUUUGUUUCUGCUACUUCUUUAUUUCCCUAUAUGUGACCUCUGAUGGAAUAAAUCAUUUCCUCACUUGUAAAAAAAUUGUAAGAAAAUGCAAUUUUAUGUUUCCCUUAUUUUAUACUGUCACGGCCCAAACCCGAGGCACGACAGACGCCACAUACCUAUAAGAUGUAAUCUUACAAACAUGCAAGGCUCCAAUACAUAUACCUUAUAACACUAAUUGAAAGAGACUAAAAUACCUGAAGAACAUAGUGAUUCAUAAUCGGUAGAAAUUCAAAAGAUCAUAAUUCGACAAUUUUUAGAAUUAAGUCUCUAAAACUAUAAAGCUAACAUGUCAAGAUAAAACUCUGAAUACUAAUUUAAGAUAGUUUGAUGUUCAUAAUAUUUAAAUAAAUCCUAGACAACCUAAAUGCUACUAGAUUAAAACAUCACUCCUCGAAAUUCUCACGUAGUUGACCAAAUCACAAUCUGAAAAAAAAAUUAAAGGAAGGAGUGAGUCCAACUACUCAGCAAGUAACUAACAUCUCACUUCAUACUACAAAAGGCCUUAAAGAAAUUAUCAAAAAUGUUAUCGGAAUAUGGAGUUCCGAUGACCCAAAUUUAGGUUGUGAAAAUAGUUGAAAACCAGGUUUCCAAUUAAUUUUAAAAAUUCAUAUUUUCCAAACCACAAAACCAAACGAGAUGCUACAAAAACCAUUGAAAAGAUCUUUUCAAGACCUUUCCAUUGGUACCCAUCAUGCCAUCGAAAAGUCACCAGAAUAGUACCGGAUUUGAAUAAAAGUUAAGAAAACAUAAAUAAUUUAGGGUUUUUGUGCCCAACUAUGAAAAUACAACCCUAAACAUACCUUAAUCAACACUCUCUUGAAUACUUUUCUCUUUUUUCUAUGUUGCUUCUUCCAUGGUAUUAAGCUUUCUUGACUGCCUAUCGUUUGAGUCUGAUGAAAUAAACUGACAUGAGUUUUCUGCCUUUUCUUUUAAACUUGUAAACUAACCUAACCUCCACUAUCUUUUUUUUUUAAAAUGUGAUUUAGUGAGUUGUGGUCAGGUAAAACAAACUGACCUUAACCCCACUAACUUAAACAUGAUAAAUAAAACCAACAUUAAUUAAACUUCCUUAUUUACUUAAAGACCUUUUUUCUAUUUUUUUAAUUAUUAAGGCACUCAAGGUUAUAAUUGCAAUUAAAUAAAAUACUAAAACAACAUUUACUUAUUUAUUUUUAUAAAACUAUAGCUUAAUAAAUCUAAAUAUUUUUAUAAUAUAUACUUUGUGAUGGGUAUCACAUCCUCCCCUCCUUAAAAAGGAGUUUAGUUCCUUAAACUCUUACCUUGGUCCUAAAAAGGUGGGGAUACUUCUUUUCGAUAUUUUCUUAUAAAUCCCAAGUCGUUUCUCGUUCUGUAUGGUUACUCCGUUUGACCUUAACAUAAAGAAUAGUUCACCUUCUUAGAACUUGCUCUUUUCUAUCCACAAUACGUAUAGGAUGCUCAUCAUAGGACAAAUCUUCUCUAAGUCUCAAAGGAGCUACUUCCACCACAUGACUAAGAUCUGGAACAUAUUUUCUCAACAAAGAAACAUGAAACAUGUUAUGCACUCCCGAUAGAGUAGGUGGAAGUGCCAACCUAUAAGCCACAUCACCAACCUUAUCCAAAAUCUCAAAUCAACCCACAUAACGAGGACUAAGUUUUCCUCGAAUCCCAAAUCGCAAUACUCCUCUAGUAAGUAAAACUAGCAAAAAGACAUGAUCUCUAACCUUAAAUUUUAUCUUCCUUCUUUUAUUGUUUGUAUAACUCUUCUGUCUACUUUGAGUCGUACGAUGAUGUUCUCUAACUAACUGAACCUUCUCAACUGCUUGUUGAAUAAGAUCUAGACCUAAUAACUGUCUUUCACCCACAUCAUCCCAACAAAGAGGUGACCUGUACUUCUUACCAUACAAAGCUUCGAAUGAAGCCAUUUGGAUACUAGGCCGAUAGCUAUUAUUAUAAGCAAAUUUCGUCCAUGACAAGUGUCGAUCCCAAGAACCUCCAAAAUCCAUGACACAAGCUCUCAACAUGUCCUUAAGAAUUUAAUUAAUUGUCUCGGACUGACCAUCUGUUUGGAGAUGAAAAGUAGUACUAAAAUUAAGUCUAGUUCCCAAAGAUUUAUGCAGACUCUCCCAAAAUUUCACCACAAAUCGAGAAUCUCAAUCAUAUACAAUAAACACUAGCACCCCAUGCAGUCUCACAAUCUGCUCCACAUAUAACUCCGCUAACUUUUCCAAUGAUAUUUUCGUACGAAUAGCCAAAAAGUGAGCAGACUUUGUUAAUCUAUCAACAAUCACCUAGAUGCCAUCAUUACCUUUUAGUGUUCUCGACAAACCUGAUAUAAAGUCCAUAGUAAUUCAUUCCCAUUUCCAUUCUGGAAUAGGAAAGGGUUGCAAUAACCCUACUGGCCUCUGAUGUUCAACCUUAACUUGUUGACAUGUCAGACAUUUGGCUAAAAACUAUGCAAUCUCUCUCUUCAUAUUGUUCUACCAAAAAGUGUUCUUCAAAUCUCUAUACAUCUUGGUACCACCAAAAUGGAUUGUACAAUUACUAUAAUGAGCUUCCAACAAAAUUUCUCUCUUCAAUUCUGCAUCAUUGGGAAUACAAAUUCUAUUACCAAACCUCAAAGAGUCAUCAUCAUGAAUCCUAAAGUCUGGUUUCAAACCAGAUUCAACCCCAAGUUUAAUGUGCUAAAGUCGAAGAUCAUCUACUUGGGCUAUCUUAAUCCAGUGAAUUAAAGUUGGUUGUACUUGUAUGUUAGCCAAUAAUGCUCCAAAACCCUGUAUACAUACACCAAUAUUCAUCCUCCGUAAGUCCUCUAAAAUCUGUUUUUGGGAAGUAAUCAUUACGACCAUGUUCCCAGACGUCUUUCUACUUAGAGCAUCAGCAACUCUAUUUGCCUUACCUGGGUGAUAAUUGAUGGUCAAGUCAUAAUCCUUUGAUAAUUCUAGCCAUCUUCUUUGUCGCAUAUUCAACUUCUUCUGCGUGAAAAGAUAUUUCAAACUUUUAUGAUCUGUAAAGACCUCACAAGACUCUCCAUAUAAAUAGUGUCUUCAAAUUUUUAAUGCGAAAACCACUGUUGCCAAAUCUAAAUCAAGAGUAGGAUAAUUCUCUUCAUAAGGUUUCAACUGUCUAGAAGCCUAAGCGAUCACCUUAUCAUCCUGCAUAAGAACACACCCAAGUCUCUUUUUGGAAUCAUCACUAUAAACAACAAAUCCCUUACCACUAGUAGGCAUGGUAUGUAUGGGAGCGAAUACUAAUUUUUUCUUUAACUCCUUAAAGCUCUUUUCACAAUCGUUUGUCCACUCAAAAUGAAUCUCUUUCCAUACCAAUCUGGUUAAAAGUAAGGCAAUACGAGAAAAUCCUCCACAAAUCGCCUAUAGUAUCCUACUAAACCCAGAAAACUACGAAUCUCAUCAACAUUAUGUGGUCUCUUUCAAUUCACCACUGCUUCAACUUUCUUUGAAUCCAUCGAAAUCCCAUCUUUCGACACCACAUGCCCAAGGAAAGCAACACUAGAAAGCCAAAAUUCACAUUUCUUCAAUUUAGCAAAUAACUGUUUCUGCCUCAAAGUCUUCAAAACAACCCUUAGAUGCUCUUUAUGAUCUGCUGAGUUAGAGGAAUACACUAGAAUAUCAUCAAUAAAAACAACCACAAACUUAUCCAAAUAAGGUUUAUAAACCCUAUUCAUCAAGUCCAAAAAAGUAGCCGGAGCAUUUGUCAACUCAAAAGGCAUAUCAAGGAACUCAUAAUGCCCAUAUCGGGUACAAAAAGCAGUUUUGGGAACAUCCUCAAUUCUCACCUUCAAUUGGUGAUAACCAGAUUGAAGAUUAAUUUUGGAAAACACUUGAGCGCCCUUUAGUUGAUCAAAUAAAUCAUCUAUUCGAGGCAAAGGAUACCUAUUCUUCAUGGUUGCCUUAUUUAACUCCCGAUAAUCAAUGCACAACCUCACACUCCCAUCCUUUUUCUUCACAAAUAACAAUGGCGCUCCCCAAGUAGAUACACUAGGUCUAAUAAAGCCCUUAUCAAGAAGUUUUUGCAACUGCUCUUUCAACUCUUUUAAUUCUAUAAGAGCCAUUCUAUAAGGAGCUUUAGAAAUCGAGCCAGUUCUUGGAACCAAAUCAAUAGAGAAAUCAAUUUCCCUAUUAGGAGAUAAACUAGGUAGAUUUUUAAGAAAAACAUUAGGAAAUUCCCCCAUAAUAAGAAUCUCUUUAAUCAUUAACUUCUUCAUUCUAUUGUCUAUACUAGCUGCCAAAAAUCCUUUGCAACCACUAGUAAGCAAUCACCUAGCUUUCAAAGCAAAGAUGACUCAUAAAAAAGUGUAAGGACCACUACCACGAAAACAAACAGGUGUUUCUCCAGGAAUCUCAAAGUCUACCCUUUUCCCUCGAUAGUCAACUUUAACAAAAUUUACAACCAACCAAUCCAUCCCUAGAAUUACAUCAAAAUCUUACAUAUCUAAAACAUGAAGAUAUGCAAGCAAUUCUCUAUCUUCAAUCCAUACCACACACAUCUUACAAAUCUGAUAUGAGAUAAUAUCAUCUCUAACUGGAGUGUCUACGCAUAGUUCAUAAUCCAGAAGCAUACAAGGCAAAGCAAACUUUUGAACAAAUGUAGCAAAUACAAAAGAACGAGAUGCAUCGGUAUCAAACAAUACAUAAGCAAAAGCUGAGGCAACUAGCAAUGAACUUGAGACAACGGUGUUGGAUGCCUCUACAUCAGACUGAGUGAUAGCAUAAGCACGGCCCUAGGUGCAAGGUCUUCCCACUUUUUGAUGUUCAGAAAAAGGUGUUUGCGUAGUCUAAACAACAUGAGUGGGUUGAGUCCUUUGCGUUGUAGUUUCAAAGGUUCAAGAGUUUUGUGGCCUUUACACAGAUUAAGAUUCUUGAAGGACUAAAGGACAAUCAGCAAUACAAUGGCCCUGUUGUCCACCUCUAAAACAAGCACCAGUUACAUGCCUACAUUUAGCAGCUCGAUGUUCUCCACCACACACUGAACACCUAGGCUUUUGUGCGCAAACUAUGAAAAUACAACCCUAAAUAUACCUUAAUCAGCAAUCCCUUGAAUACUUUUUCUUUUUUUCUGUCUUUCUUCUUCCUUGGUGUUAAUCUCUUCUUACUACCUAUCGUUUGAGCCCGCUGAAAUAAACUGACAUGAGUUUUCUGCUUUUUCUUUUAAAAUUGUAAACUAACCUAACUUCCACUAUCUUUUUUUUUUAAACAUGAUUUAGUGAGUUAUUGUUAGGUAAGAUAAACUGACCUUAACCCCACUAACUUAAACGUGAUAAAUAAAACUGACAUUAAUUAAACUUUUUUAUUUACUUAAAGAUCCCUUCUUCUAUUUUUUAAUUAUUAAGGCACCAAAAGUUAUAACUGCAAUUAAAUAAAAUACUAAAAGAACAUCUACUUAUUUGUUUUUAUAAAACUAUAGCUUAAUAAAUCUAAAUGUUUUUAUAGUAUAUACCUUGUGAAGGGUAUUACAUAUACAAAGAAAAUAUGUGAUAUCUUAUAUUUAUAUUUUUAUGUAUGUACGUAUCUAUAGUAUUAGUUGUUUAAACCUUUUGGGUGCAAUUCAUUUUCAUAUAUAAUUAACAGCUUUUAUAAAACUGCAGUGUUUGUGACCAUAUAUGCAUGUAAAUCUCUCUUUAACUGCAAUUGUUUUUUGUCCAAAAUACUUCUAAAAAAAGAUUGUAUAGAGCAGCCAAAUUUGAAAUAAAAUAUUUUUAAUAACACAAGUUAAAAAAAUUAAAUGCCUUAGUUCUUAGUCAAUCUUUCUUUUUAAACUUUUUAUACAUAUAAAAAAAAUCUAAAAUAUGGACUGAUUAGUCCUUUUAGACUUAAUAGAUCGACGGUGAAAUUUUAAGACUACACAAUAAAUUUAUAGGAGUACUCGAAUGAUUUUAUUUAUAUCUUAUUGGAGGCUUAUAUUAAUCUCUCAACUCAGACAAAUUACGAAGUAAGAUUCUUUUUAUGUCAGUUUCGUUACCAAUCAGUUGCAUACUAUAUUUCUUCACUUAUUUCUGUUUUAGUAGAAAAUCAGCUGAGAGCUAUGAUUGGCUUUGUGUUAAAGUGGUUGGCUUUAGUUAGUUGACUUGACUGACUUUUCGAACGAAGACAAGUGAGCAGGAAUAACCGCACCAUUUUCCCCAUGAAGUAAGAGAAUUUCUGUAAAAGUUAUAUGCAAAUGGAUUUUUAAAAACACAAGUUGAUGAAAAAAUUAAUAAAUGCAAAUUUAAUUAUUAUAUUGUGUUUUUUCCACUUGUUCAAAGGAAGAUUUGAUUUCAAUUGCAGCCACAGAAAUAAUUAGCAAAGCAAUAAAGAUAACAUUAUCCUAACUCUUUUUUAAUCUUCCUCGUUAAACUGUUUUAUACAUAAUAUUUAAAAAAAAAUGACUUUUUUAUACUUACAAAAAAUAAAUAUAAGAUAUGGAAAUUGAUUUUUUUUUUGAAGAGGAAAUUGAUCUAUUUUAUUUAAAUUAUAUUUUAUAUAUUUGUGAUGAAAUUUUGAAAUUCCAAAUUUUAUAACACUAUUUAAGCGAUUAAAUAUAUAUUUAUUUAUUGAGGGGUUAUAUUAAUCUCCCUACUGUGCAGAUAUACUUGGAUGAAUUAGAAAGAUUUCUUUUCUGUUAGUUUCGCUACCAAUUGGUUUUAACAGAUUUUCUUCUUUCUUGUUUGUUUGCGUGGAAAAUCACCCAAGGGUCAUUGAGUACUAUUAUAGGCUUUGUGUUAAACGUGUUCUGAGGCUUGGGAUUUAAUUUGUUGAUUGACUUUUCAAAAGAAGACUUGGUUUUAACAAUAAGUCUAGGAGAAGAUCGUAGUGCUUCUUCACAAACUAAUUAAGCCCUUAAUCUCCUUCUCUCCCCUGAAAUUUUGGGAUAAUAAGAUCAAAGCUUCCAUUAUUCGGCCUUCUGGCCCUUGCUAUAACUCUAUUCCCUGAUGCAUGCAUCGCUAGAGGCAAACACAAGCACUGUGGCUCUUCUUUCUGUGGAAACAUUAACAUCACUUACCCUUUUCGAUUAAAAAGUCAGCCUCGAAGUUGUGGUUACAAUCGUUAUGAACUAGUAUGCGAGAAUAACCGCACCAUUUUGCCCAUGAAACAUGGGAAUUUCUAUGUCCAACACAUCUCUUUUAGUGACCAAACCUUUCAACUGUUAGACGUGAGUCUUGACAAGCAUAACUGCUCCAUUCCUCAUAGUUCCUGUCAUUGGGCCAGCGUUUGUCCCAAAAAACUAUAUGAUUGGUCCAUCCCUUCUGCGGUAAAACUAUAUCCUUGGCGCCCCUUUUCAGCGGAAGAAAUAAAUUUCUAUCAAACUAUCCCUGAAUUUAGAGUCAUGUAUCUCGUAAAUUGCAUGAUGCAGAUCAACGACUCUUGGGUUUAUAUCGAUGCUUUUCGUUGUACCAAUACCCUUCCUCUCGACCUCCUUAUUUUUACUUUUUGGAUGGAAAAACAGCACCGUCUGAUUUCCAUGAGUCAUGCACAGUUGAAGCCCGGGUUCCAAUCAUGGUUGCCAACAUCACCUUCCUCUCUACUUUUGAUAUUUACACAAAGCUGUUAGCGGGAUUCCAACUCUCAUGGUCAACUUCCUAUUAUCAUUAUGUUUCGCUGCGGUGGGACUCAAUUGUUAACGUGUGAGGGUUUUUAAGUAUUCCGCAAUAUUUGGUGUUGUUUAGCUUUUGAAAAAUAUUUAUUAUUUUUAGCACAAAUAUGAUAAAUAAAUAAAUAUAAAAAAAAUUUAGUUUUUAAUUCUUUUUUAAAAAUUUAAAUAUUUUUAAAUUACAUUUUUUAGUAUGUAUAUAAAUCUGUAUUUUAUUCAUUCUAAAAUUUAAACUCGAUAUUUUUUUUAAAAUUAGAAUCGCAAUUUUUUAUUAAUGUAGUGUCUACUUCAGACUUUAAUUAUUUACUUUUACUCUAAAUAUGUUUAAUGUAAAAUUUAAACAGAAGGAUUUAAAACAUUUUCAACAGUAAAAGUGCUAAUUUCAUUUGCCUUAUUAAGAAUUAACGUUUUUUAUUUGGUUUUUUGAAUAUUCAUUAUAGAUUGCUAUCCUUGCUCCAACUGUUGUUGCUUCCGCUGGCGAUAUAUAUAAAAAGCAACCUGGAUUUUCUGCGGGGCACCUUAACAGAGGAUAGUUUAGUUCCUAAUAAAGGUGUUCUUUCUUUCUGAGUUCAUUACUAUUUUGAUUAUUAUUUGGUUUGCCUUUACUUUCUUGUAUAGUAUCUAUAUAUUAACACUUAAUUUUCGAAUUGGUGAUAUCUUAGCAGGAAUCCGGAUUCCUUGUGUUACAAUAACAGGUACUAAAUUCUACACUUAUUUAUUUACUCUGAAAUUCUAGAGUUGUUACAAUGUACGACAUCGUAAUGUAGUAGGAAUCUAAGAUUCAGAUUUACAUUUGUAAUUUAUUAUUAUAAUAAUACAUAUAUUAAAAAAUUCAAAUAAUUUUUUUUAUUUCGUUCAAUCAAAUCAUCAUAUUUUAUUUUGAUUCAAAUAAACUUUUAUAAUUAACGGUUGACUAAUUGUUAUUAUUUCAAAUGUCACUUGUCAUUUUAUAUUCACGUGAUGUUGAUAUGAUACUGACAUGGAAGGUAAAAAUAGCACGUAAUUAUGUCAGCAUGUCACAUACUAUGACAUGUAAACAUGAUAUAUUAACGUCACAUGACAUAAAAUGACAAAUGACAUUUUAAUUAAUAACAGUUAGUUAACUAUUGAUUAUAACAAUUUAUUUGUUCCAAAAUAAAUGUUUAAUACUUGAUCAAACACAAUGAAAGAAUAAAAUUUAUUCAAAUUUUUUUAAGUAUUAUAUAUAUAUAUAUAUAUAUAUAUAUAUAUAUAUAUAUAUCAGUGUCAAUUAGUUAAAUUUACACCUUUUCAUAUUUUUUAUAUGAUUAAUAUGUUGUUACUUUCACUGUUGUAUUCCAUAUAUGCUCAAUUUACAUAGAUCAUGCAUGAAAAAUUUUAAAUCAAUUGAAAAUAUCUAAUUAUUUAUAUGAUAACAAUAAAAUUUUAACUGCUAAAUAUAUAUUAAAAAAUAAUAUUCUCUACCACUGUGAUACGGAUAUAUAUUACACUCCUUGAAACUUUAUAUGUACGAUUGGAUACAAAUAAAGUUAGCUUGCUAAAACAUAAAUGUAUAUUAAAUUAUAAAAUGGUGUAAAACUUAAUCAAUGUGUAACUUGAGCCCUCAUAUAUAUAUAUAAAAUUUUUAUGAGUAUUGCAUACAUGUGUAUGUAUGUAUAAAAGAGAUUCAAUAAAGGAUAAAAUAAUUAAAUAAAAGAAGAUCCACUGUAAAUAAUUCAUAAAUAAUAUUGAACUACAUUAAUGUUUUUUAGUCAAAAUAAAAAUUAUGUCCAAAUUUAUCAUUUUACUUUGGAUGAUGGACCAAAUUAUGAUCAUAUUUGAAUGAGUAUAAUUUUGUCACUAUACUUUUAAAUUGGUUAAAAAUAAUUAAAAGUUAUGAAAUAAACUAAAAAGUACAAUAAUAAAAAUUACACCUAUUCAAAAAUGAAUACUAAAUUUGAUCCAUCAUGUUAAGUAGAUUGGUCCUUUCAAAAAAAAUGUUAAGUAGAUUGGGGGUAAAUUUGAACCUUAUCUCAAACUACUCUGUGAAGUUUGUUUGUGAAAAUAUGGCAGCACAUACCCAAAUUAAAUUAGUAAAUAACAUAUACAUAUUCUAUAAUCAUGUUUUUCAAUUUUUUUUGUUUUUUCUCACCCAAGAAAAAGGUGUAUUAAAUCAAUAAAAGUACAAGAUUGGUGUAUUAAAUCAUGGUGUCCAACUAAUUAAUUUAUAUAUUGUUAUAUAUUUUUUGUUGUGAAACAGGAAUGAUAUUACUAAGAACAUUUUUGGGGAUAACUUGCUUGAUUAUAUUGGUUGUACGCAAAUUGAAAAGGAGGCAUUUGUCGAUGGAUGACAUGAUUGAGAAUUUUCUUCAAAGUCAAAACAAUCUAAUGCCUAUAAGAUAUUCUUAUUUUGAAAUAAAAAGAAUGAUGGAUGGUUUCAAGAAUAAAUUAAGACAAGGAGGAUAUGGCUCUGUGUUUAAAGGAAAACUUCGAAGUGGUCAACUUGUUGCGACAAAAUUGUUAAACAAAUCAAAAGCUAAUGGCCAAGAUUUCAUCAAUGAAGUUGCAACUAUUGAAAGAAUUCACCAUGUUGAUGUGGUAAGACUUGUUGGAUUUUGCGUGAAGGGAUCAAAACAAGCUCUUGUAUAUGACUUCAUGCAGAAUGGGUCCUUAGAUAAAAUUAUAUUUUCAACUGAAAGUAACACUUUGAGCUGGCAAAAAAUGUUUGAGAUUGCAUUGUGAGUGGCUCAAGGUAUUGAAUAUUUACAUAGAGGUUGUGAAAUGCAAAUUUUACAUUUCGAUAUCAUGCCACAUAACAUUCUUCUAGAUGAGAAUUUUAUCUCAAAAUUUUCAAAUUUUGGCCUUGCAAAGUUGUAUUCAGUGGAUGACAAUAUUGUCUCUUUUACAGCUACAAGAGGUACAUUAGGUAUAUGGCUCCUGAAUUGUUUUAUAAAAUAUUAGAAGCAUCUCAUAUGAAGCCGAUGUUUAUAGUUUUGGAAUGAUGUUAAUGGAAAUUGUCGGAAGGAAAAAAAAUGUGAAUGUCUCUGCUUAACAUUCAAGUCAAAUUUAUUUUCUAUCAUGGAUUGAUGAUCGACUUGAAGAAGGAGAUAUCAUAGAGCUUGGAGAUGUUACAGAGAAUGAAAACAAAAUUAUGAGGAAAAUGGUAAUAGUAGCCUUUUGGUGCAGAGAGAUGAAGCCCGCAGAUCGUCCUUCAAUGAGCAAAGUCUUGGAGAUGCUUGAAAGUGAAGUUGAGCUCCUUGAAAUGCCUCCCAAGCCUGCUUUCUCUUGAAAUGUCAACCAAAUCAUUUAGUGUUGAAUCAUAAGUAAUAUUUAAUAUUGUAUGUUAAGCAAUGUUUCACUACUUUAUUAUACUACUUUUAUAAUUUUUAUAGUAGAAACCUUAAGCUUGAGGCAUAAUCUUCUCUCUUCCUAAAAAAACAAAAAAAAAAAAACAAUAUAGAAUGGUGACGAAGAAUGUAUAUCAAGGAAAAAAGGAUAUUGAGUUGGAGUUUCGAGUGUGUGAAGGUGUUAUUUUAAGAGAGUUGUAAUGGUAUCUUGUAAGUAUUUUGCCUAUAUAAAAAGUCUUUUUGCUCAUAUAAAGGAUAAAGUCUUUAAAUACCAUUAUCUAUACAAUCAUUAUAUUAAUGCAAAUAAUUAACUUACUUUUUAACAAAAUUAAAAUAUUUCUGAACCAUGUUUCAAAUUAUAAUUUUUUUAUUUAAAAAUAUAAAUUAUUUAAGUUUUCUCUCUUAAUUAAAAAAGUCAAAUUUCAUCCAAUUCAAAAUUUUAUUUUAAUUGAUUCGAAAUCAAAUUCAAUUUAAUUCAAAUUAAAUAAAAAAAUUAAAAAUUUAAAUUUGAAAAUACAUGAAUUUAAAAUGAUAUUAAUUUUAGACGAUCCAAGUUCAACAUGACUCAAAUCUAAAACGAACAGAGCUCAUAAUGAUCCAAAACCCAAGAUUUAUUCGAUCCAAAACUUAUAAAAACUUAUAUUUAUAACUCCAAAAAAUCCAAAUUAUAAUUAAAUAUUUUUAUUUAAUAACUAAAUGAGUAAAUGAUUAUUUUUUAAGGGAAAAUUUUAAGACACACAAGCUCCUUCUCUCGUCAAUGCUUCUUUACUCAGAAACAGCUCGUAGGAAUGGCAUGGUCAACUACUCUGCUUCACCUUCAAUUCAAAUUCCCUCCGGUUUCUUCUCACCAAUUGCGAUGUUCCCUCCCCAAAAAAUCCCCAAUCUUCCUAAACCCUAACCCUGUAAUUCCCAAUUCUAAACCCCCCAAAAUGCAAUUCCUUCACAGACCCAACGCGUUUCCAGGCCACGGCGCAGUAUCAAGGGCCAUGGACAUCAUCCAAUCGUCGCCGCCCACGUGGCAAUCGGCCUUCCUCAGCAACCUCGUGAUCUUCGUCAUCGGAAGCCCACUUUUAGUAGCGGGGCUAUCUCUCUCCAGAAUUUGUGCUGCCUUCUUGCUUGGCACUCUCACUUGGCGCGCUUUUGGGUCUUCUGGGUUCCUCCUCGUUGCUUCUUACGUAAUAGUGAGUCCUCACAAAGUCUAUGGAUUUUAUUUGAAUUGUGGGAUUUAAGUUAAAUUUAGAAAUGGGGUUCUGAUUUUUGUUCCCAUUUGGUAUAAAGUUUACGCUUUGGAGGACAAGUUUCAUUGUUUGGUAAUAUGGCAAAGGAAAAGAAACUUAGUUUAUGUCAAAAAGAUUUCAUGUGAAGUAGUUUGUUAUUUAAGUGUGAUUUGUUUUUGUUUAAAGAAUUGGAUUACACUAGUGAAAUCACGUCAAAAUCAUAACCAAAAUAUUUUUUCCAAAAUUUCUUUAUUUUCAUUUGUUUUGCUCUUGGUGGGGGGCAGGUGGAGGAGCCAGGGAGAAUUUAUGGGUUCUCGCAGUUUUAGACUAGUUUGAAACGAUAUAGUAUUGUUUUUCCUGCUUUCCUUUCUAAUAAUGGCUUGUUUUACUUGCAAAAUGAAUCUUGAAUUAGUUCCUCCUUCCCUCUUCUGAUUUUCCCUACCCAUAUUUCUAGUUGAAGAUAAUAGUUUCAAAUCAUGCUUGAAAACUAUAUUACAAAAUACUUGUAAUAUCAAACAAUUUUGUGUGGCAUUCGAGUUUCUAAUUUGAAUGGAGAAAUAAUUGGGAUGGAAGUGGUAUUAAAUAAUUUAGAGGAAAGAAACCCGAAUGCCUUUUGCACCAAUACAAAGAAAAGAAAAGAAAACCUAGUACAAAACUUCGGAAGAUGCUUGAUUGUAAGCUGCUGGGCUUUUGAGGACCUGAGACUCCAUAAUACUUUAUAAUUCUCUAAAUCUUCAUGCAAUCUUACAGCUCUUUGUCAUGCCUCUAAAACAAAUGCGGUAAAACCAUGCUCAAUUGCUCAAAUUGUUAUGCUCAAUUGAGAACUCCUGACCUGUUAUGUGUGUGUGGAGAUGAUAACACCAAUGAAUGGCCUUGUUAUACGGAUGACCGCUCAUGAUAAUUGCUACUUCAAAAAUUAUUGGCUUAGAUUAUGCUGCUGUGUUUUGAAACUUGUUGGCAUGCCUCACGAAUGCUGCAAAAUGUGCAGAAGGUUUCUGAGAUCUUGCUGCCAUCUAAGAAGAAAGAAUGGUGAAAUUGUACAGGUACUAUGAAUAUGAUGUAAUGUUUAGCUUUUUUAUAGGGACUUCCUUUUUGUAUAGUGAACUUGGUUGCAUUGGAAUGAGUCUGUUCUCUGGGAAGAAUCACUGUUCUGAAAAUUGUUAGGUCUGAUCACAAUUGCAACCAGGAGCGGCAUGCCUUGCUUUUCUUCUCAUAGGGCAUCAGGGUAUCCCAUCAGGGUUCUUUUUGUGAACCCCUCUUAUGAAAUAACAUCUUCUAUGCCUUUCCAAAAAAAAAAAAAGUAACAAUCACAUGGCAUAAUUUUUUCUUACAAUAUGAGAGUACUGCAUCAGAGUUUCUUAAUGCAUUAAGAAAAGUUAGAGAUGAGGUCUAAGAAAAUAUCAAUUUCAAGAAGAAACAAAUAACACUAGAAUCAUAUUUUACAAAAAUAUCAUAAUUGAGUCAUGUAUAUAUAUAAUUUUGAUGUAUAAGAAAAUUAUUAAUUUAUAUAUCAAGUGAGAUCUAUGUGUUUUUUUUCAAAAUGUAUUAUCUUAUUAAUUUAACAAAUUAUUAAUUUAUCAUGUUGAUCUCAAAUCAGGACCAACCAAAAUUAUUAAUUUAUCAAGCAUUAUUUAUAGACGUUUUGUUGUACUUCUCUGUAAUUCACUCUAAAUAAAAGGGUAUGUUGAAACAAGCGGAAUUUAGAUCCCUUAUGGUUCUUGCUACAUUUAAGUACUAUUAAUGUCAUUUAUGCUGGUUAUAAAGAUCUGACAUUUUAUUUAGAAACAAAAUUUGUAGAGUGUCAAGCUUUAAUAGCUUUUUUUUUGUUGCUUUUUAAUGUUUAUAUUCGUUGCUAUAUACUAUUUUUUUUCCCUAUCAAACCAUUCUUUCAUGCUUACAAAUUUAAAUUUGUGGUGUGCAAAAAUUGUUGAUAUAUUUCAAAAUCAAAUGUUAUGUCACAUAAUAAAAAGCUAUUUUAGCUCAAAAGUUGUCACAUAAAAUGACAUAGUGUGACUAUUGAAUUGUAGGUAGGUUUUCAUAUGAAUGGUUAUGUCUCUAGGUAAAAUGACAUUCAAAAAUUAUGAGACAAAUUGAAAAAAUACUAUAGCUCAAAAGUUUAAGAGCUUGUUUGGCCUAGUUUUUUUUUAACUUAAAAGCUAUUAUUAAGCUCUUAUGAAAAAUAAUAGCUUUUAAAAAUUAAGCUAAAAUUAUUUGAUAAAUUGUUUAACAAAAUAAAUUAUAUAAGCUCUAAUUUCGGUUAAAAUUACCAUAAAGGGUAUUCAUGCUAUCUUCAAUCACCUAAUAAGCUAUAAUGUAAUGCUUCAAGUUUGUAUAUAAUUUCAGAUAUUAAAAUCGAAGAAAUCAAUAAAAAAAUGAAUAAUUUUCAAACUUAUAUAGUAGCAAUAGUAUUAGACUUUUGUUGAUCUAACAAGCAAUCGGACCAUGAUGCUUCAAUUCCCAAAAAAGAAGAAAAGGGAGGAAACGGUGUAUUUAAUAUUAAAAUCUUUUUUAGUGAAAAAAAAAAUAGAAAACCUUUAAAUAGUUUUUGAAUGCAGUUUUGAAUUUUAGAUUUUUUUUCUCUCAAUUUUUGUAAGAACAAAAAAAUUUUAAAUUUUGUUAUUCAAUGGUUGGUCUUCUGUUUUUAAUUUUUUAGUAGUCUUUAGAGAGGUAGAGGAGAGGGAGAUAGUAAUUUUACGUUGGAGAAUGGUAAUUUGCAGAGGGAAGAAGAGGAGAGGGAGAUUAAUUUAGAGAUGGGUAUUUCCUGAAAUUAAUGUAUUUUUAAAAGAAGAAAAAAAAAAGCUCUUCCUUGGAGCUUUUUUUUAAAGCUCUUUUUUUUUUUUUUAAAUUUUGUUCUUAAAAAAAAACUGUUUUUUUUUUUAAGAGCUUCUCAAAAAAGCUUUUGGUUUUAAAAGGUAGAUAAGGUGAAAAAAAACAGGCCAAACAUGUACUAAAUAUGAAAAGUUAUUGUUUUAAAUUAUAACUCAAAGAUUAUGUUUUAUGGAAUGAAUAGUUCUCCUUUCAUAAGAUGAUUAUUAAGUGCUUGUUUGGCCUAGUUUUUUUUCAGCUUAUCUAUCUCUUAAAAAUAAAAGUCAGGCCAAACAUAAAAUUUUAAAAAGCUCUUAAAAAAAAGUAGCUUUUAUUAAAGAACAAAUUUUUGAAAAAAGAGCUUCAAGGAAAAGCUCAUAUUAAGAGUUUUUUCUUCUCUUUUUUUAAAAAUGCAAGAGAAUUUUUAUUUUUGUUCCAAAAAUAUCAUCAUCUGUUAAAAUAAUUACAAUAUUACCCUCUCAAAAAAAGAAAUACCCUUUAUGAUAAUUUUAACAAAAAUUUAUAACUUAUAAAAAGAAAUUUACUAAAUAAUUUUAGCUUAAUUUUAAAAGCUAUUAUUAUUCAUAAGAGCUUCAUAAGAGCUUUUAAGCUAAAAAAAAGCCAGGCCAAACAAACUCNUCAGGCCAAACAUAAAAUUUUAAAAAGCUCUUAAAAAAAAGUAGCUUUUUUUAAAGAAUAAAAUUUUGAAAAAAAGAGCUUCAGGAAAAGCUCCUAUGAAGAGCUUUUUCUUUUCUUCUUUUAAAAAUGCAAGAGAAUUUUUAUUUUUGUUCCAAAAAUAUCAUCAUCUGUUAAAAUAAUUACAAUAUUACCCUCUCAAAAAAAGAAAUACUCUUUAUUAUAAUUUUAACCAAAAUUAUAACUUAUUAAAAAAAAUUUACCAAACAAUUUUAGCUUAAUUUUAAAAGCUAUUAUUUUUCAUAAGAGCUUUAUAAUAGCUUUUAAGCUAGAAAAAAGCCAGGCCAAACAGACUCUUAAACAAUACCUUUAUCUUAGAGUUGUAUCUAGCAAAAUGUAAAGAUGUCUUUUAGACAAAAUAGUGCCUUAAUGAAAGGGUUGUGUUCUUGAAGAAGAGACACUUGCAAGCCUAUAUAAAGGGCCUGUUGCCAACCAUUUUGACAUAUCAAAUAAAAAACAAAACAAAAGCAGAAAAAUCAAGAGUAAGAAAAGUGUUAUGUUCUAUUAACAUAAACACUUAAGUUCCCAUCAACUACAAAAGCGUCCAAAUUUUUUAUAAUCUACUUGUUGUAGAGAGUAGGCUCUAAGUCCUAACAACUUUACAAACCCUCGAGUGUAUCUAGUGGUCUACUCUUGUAAAGUGCAAGACGAAGUUAGACAUUAGCUUCAUUGUAUCUCUAAGGCUAUUUGCAUUAUUCCCUUUUGCAUACCGAGUGGUGGGGACUAAAUAAGUCUUAAAGAUAACAUCUAUUGAAAGACUCGCCUUAAAGUCAAGUUUUUCGAUUCUUAAAUUCCAUCUAAACCCCAUUUGCACCAACAAAAAUGAGCAGGUACCUACUUUACUUUAUUAUUCUACUUUUAUUAUAUAAUUUUUAUAGUCUCCUUUUUCAUCUUAUAUAUGGAAUCAAAUCCAUAUAGAAACCUUAAGCUUGAGGCAUAAGCUUCUCUCUUAUGAAAAUAAAAUAAAAGUCAAGAGCAGUAUAUAUACCAUUGUGAAUGAAUAAAGUAUAAAAACAUGGUGCCUUUUGAGAUACAAAACAUUGUGAAUGCGACAAGAAGUAUUAGUUGUAAUGUGUUAAUGGUCAUUUUUUAAUCAAAUUAAAAAUGUUACUAUUAGCAAUAUCAAGAAUUGCCAGGGAGAAAUUCAUUGAUAAAAUGACAAAUACCUAAAUUCUCUUCAUUGGCAACUUUACUAAAAAUCACUUUAAAAAAAAAAUUAGUAAAAGAUUUUCCAUAUUAUCUCUAUAUAUAAUACAAUAUCAAAAUUUAGUAUUAUAAAAUAUUUUAUUUUAUGCUUUUUUAGUACUAACAUAUUUUAAACAAUGUCAUUGUUUAUUUUAUUAUUACAUGGACACUACUUAUGUCAAACCCUGUUCUAUAUAAUAAUUACGACAUCAUUUACAUGCUCAAUAGAAUAGUUGCAUAUUUAGGAAGUUUGAGAAAUCGUUAAAAGACGAUAUUGCCCCUAAUGGUAUCAUUAAGUCGAUUAAGCCUCGAACUAGUUCAAAUAGGAAUUUUAAGGUGAAAUUCAAAAUUUUACAGUCAAAGAAUGACUUAAAAUGGUGAUUUGGAGUUCGAGGAUCAAUUUGGAGUCAAAUCGGAAUUUUUGCUAUCUAGGGGCAAAAUGGUCAUUUGCCACCUAGAGACAAAAUGAAAAUUUUUAGAAAAGAUUUUUUUGGCCCCAUUUGACUCAUUGGAGUAUGAUUUGAGUAUUGGAGUAUGAUUUGAGGUUUAGAAGUGAAAAAUUUUAAUUUCGGUAUAGUUUAGAGUAUAAGGGUAAAAUGGUAAUUUUACCACCCUAGGGGCAAAACAGUAAUUUUUCACCACCAGGACACUUGUCCAGCACAUGGUCUUCCCUUAUCCUCAUUUUGACCUUUGACUAAUCAUGUGGUGGAGAUAAAAGGUUUAAAAUUUUUAAAGUUUUAAAAAUGGACCAAUGGAAACAUGCCACGUGUCAAGCAAGGAUAUUUUAUUAUUUUCUAUAAAAAUCAGCCCAUAUUUAUCCCAUUCUUCUUCUCCAUAUUCGGCCAAGACAAAAGGAAAGAAAGGAAAAACAAGAACAAAACCUAGGUGGAGGAUUUCAAGAGAAAAAGUGUGGAAAAUCAAGGAAAACAAGUGAAAAAGGUAAGAUUUUUCAAUUUAAACUUGAAAUCUAUUUUCCUUACGCAUUUCUCUUUAUUUUUCAUGCUUAAAUUACAUGUUUUCAUGAUGAAUUCAUGACUGAUCAAAACGGGUAUGGAGAGAGAAAGAUGUUGGAUUGAAUUGAUUUUAAGAUAUGUUAGUGUUUUUAGUUAGUUUAGCAUAUUUAGAAGCAAAACAAUAAGAAAAGAAUCCAUUUUUCCCAUGAAUCAUCAUUGGCCGAAUCUUCCUUCAUGUGUGUGGGUGGUGGAUUGUUAUUAUUUCAAGAGAAAUGGCUUAGAAAAUGAUGAAUAAUGGUGAAAAAAAUUAAGUAGGAAAAAUCACUGUGUUAGUGCACUGUAAUGGCCGAAUUUUUCCAUGAAGAAAUGGGAGGGUUUUGAUGCUGAAAUUGGUGUUAUUUGAAUAAUGUUUGGUGAAUUGAGGUAUUAGAAAUGAAAUGGAGCAAUUUGGAGCCAAAUCGGACACAAUUGUCAUUUAAUCGGGUAAUAGGCCGAAUUAGGUCAACACCGCAUUUAAGCGGUAGUCGGAUAAGUUGCAUAUCAUAUCAUGCAUAUACACUGAGCCUGAAUUGAUUUUAUAAUGGUCAAGCAUUAAUGUGGUGAAUUAUGUAUUGUACAUUGUGGAUAGGUAGUGAGCAUAUUACACUAGUAAAAGUACAAAGAUUGUGCUUGAAGACUGGGAUUAGGAGUACAUCGACUCCUAGAACUGUGAGUAAACUUAUUAUUGUCUUAAUUAUCUAGAGUAGUUUUAUACAAUUAUGUGAUUUUAUAGAAAAUGAGUUUAAAUGGUAAAUUGCUAUGUUUUAGGAGAAAUUGUGAUUUUAUAAAAUGAUUUUAUAAAUUUUUUGAAAAAUUGAAUACUAGUUUUGAAAAUAGAGUAAUUGGAAACUGCCUGCUUGUGUUAUAAAUUGUGUUUUAAAUUAUAUGGCUUAUAGCAAUAUGUGAGCAUGAAUGGCAAAGUCAGUAUUUGUAUUAAAAUUAUAUAUACUAUGUAUUCAGCCUUGAAAUGCUAGAUUUUGAUAAAUUACCAUGUCAUGCAGAUAAGGAUUUUAUAAAUUAUAUGGUAGAUAAAAUAAUCCAUAAUCCCUACAGUGGAGGUUUUGUGGACCAGCCUAAGAGAGGGGGCACAGAAUCAGAUAUACCUUACCUCGAUCGGAGAGCCGUGUGAAGGGUGUCUCUGGAGGUAAAGAUUUGAGUGCACUUUACGUGGACCAUCACGUGAGAGUGAGACUCAGCCAACGCCAAGGCAUGGCUAGAAUUUCAAAUGUAAAGACAUUUAACAGCCUUGGUGGUCUCGGUCAGAUGCUUAAGCCAAGGCAUCCCCGGGAAUGAUUUUGGCAGAGCCAAGUUUUGUGAGAUAGAUAAGCCAUGUUGAAUUAUUGAGUAAACUGAAUAUUCAUGUUAUGAAACAUAUAUUGAAAAAAUAUGUAAAAACCCUUAAAUUUUUAUUCUUUUAUUAUAACUAAACAAGUCGCAAACUCUUAAUUUUAAUAAAAAAUUUAACAAUCAUCAAAUUUAUUAUCAAUUGAUAUUUUUUUUGUCUAAUUAAUAUAUGAUAUGAUAAUUAAUAUAAUUGCGUGAUGGUAGACAUAACCCCAUAAAAAUUAAUGUGAAAUGAGUCAUGCUAUCAUGUCAUCAAGUUAUGCCGACAAGAAAAUGUCAACUAAAUUUUAAAAAAUGAUUGGAAUUUUUAAUCUUCCUCAGAAUUUUUUAUACAUAUGAAAAGAAAAUGUAAAGUAUGGAACUGAUUAAGAAUCCCAAUCCUCUGUCACAUUCGUUGACUUUUCAAAUGUAGACUUGGCUUUAAUAUUAAAGACAAGAGAACACUUUUUCACAAACUAAUCAUGCCCUUAAUCUCCUUCUCUCUCACGGAAACUUUAGGCUGCUGAGAGCAAAACUUCCAUUACUUUGCCUCUUGGCUUUGGCUUUUUUUCUUCUCCUUCAUGCAUGCAUCGCUUGAGUCAAAAACAAGCACUGUGGCUUCUGUUUCUGUGGCUCUUGUUUCUGCGGAAACAUUAACAUCAAUUACCCUUUCCGUUAAACUUAGAUUUGAUUUCAAUUGCAGCCACAGAAAUAAUUAGCAAAGCAAUGAAGAUAACAUUGUCCUAAGAGUUAAUGUUUCUCGUUAAACUUUUUUAUAUAUACUCCUCCACAGAAAAAUACUGUUGUUAACGUGUGAGGAUUUUUAAGUAUUCCGCAAUAUUUGGUGUUGUUUAGUUUUUGAAAAAUAUUUAUUGUUUUUAGCAUAAAUAAAUUUGACAAAUAAACAAAUAUGAGAAAAAUAAAUUUUUAAUUUUGAAUUCUAAUUUUAAAAAGUGGACAAUAUUUUUAAAUUACUUUUUUAAUUUUGUGUAUAAAUUUGUAUCAUAAAAUUUAAACUCGACAUUUUAAUGUAAAAUUUAAAGAGAAGGAUUUAAAACAUUUUUUCGUUUGGGCCCGGGGAAUCCCUUGCUUUUGGCUAUGGUCUUUAUUUACCUUUUUUGCACCUUUUUUUUUCGAAACUAUUAAUUCACAAACACUAUUGGAACGACGCGGCACGACAGCAAUACCACGACAAUCUACGAUUCAGAUUGACAUUACUAAUUUAUUAUUAUAAUAAUAAAUAUAUUAAAAAUUUUCUAAACUAUUUAAAAUAAUUUAAUUAAGUCUUCCUCUUUUUAUUUUGUUCAAUUAAACUCUUAUAUUUUUAUGUUGAAAUAAAUAAACAUUUAUAAUUAAUGGUUAACUAACUUUUAUUAAUUCAAAUUCAACUUGUCAUUUUAUACCCAAGUGACGUUGACAUGAUGUAAACAUGAAAGGUAAAAAUGUCAUGUCAGCAUAACAUGUUAAUAUCAUGUGACAUAAAAUAAUAAGUAGAAUUUUGAUUAAUAACGGUUAGUUAAUUAUUAAUUAUAAUGGAUUAUUUGGUUUAAAAUAGAAAUACAAGAAUUUGAUUGUACGCAAUAAAAGCUUAAAAGUUUAUUUGAAUUUUUCUAAAUAAUUCAGAGACAUUUUUAAAUAUUAUGCAUAUAUAUAUAUAUGUGAAAUUAAUUAAAUUUACAACUUUCAUAUUUUUUAUACAAUUUAUAUUUUGUUGAUAUAAUCGUUGUAUUCCAUAUAUACUUUAUUUACAUAGAUCAUGCAUGAAAAAUUUUAACUUAAUUAAAACUUUCUAAUUAUUUGUAUGAUAACAAUGAAAUUUUAAUCGUUAAAUAUAUAUUAAAAAACAAUAUUCCCCACCAAUGCUCUCCGGGUAUCAUUCUGACUAGAAACUUUAUAUGUAUGAUUAGGUGCAAACAAUGUUAGCUUGCUAAAAGUUAAUUGUAUAUGAAAUUAUAAAAGGUGUAAAACUUAAUCAAUGUGUGUAUAUAUAUAUAUAUAAUUUUUAUAAGUAUUGCAUAUAUGUAUACAUAUGUAUAAAAGAGAUUCAAUAAAAGAUAAAAUAAUUAAAUAAGAGAAGAUCCACUACAAAUGAUUCAUAAAUAAUAUUGAACGACAUUUAUUAGAUUUUUUAGUAACAUAUUUUAUGUUGUUACGAUGUUUUUUGGUCAAAAUAAAAAAUUUGUCCAAAUUUAUCAUUUACUUUGGGUGAUGGAUCAAAUUAUGAUCGUAUUUGAAUGAAUAUAAUUUUGUCACUAUACUUUAAAAUUGGUUAAAAAUUGAUCAAAAGUUCUGAAAUAAACUAAAAGGUACGAUAAUAAAAAUAACACCUGUCAAACCCUGUUCUAUAAAAUAAUUACGACGUCAUUUACAUGCUCAAUAGAAUAUUUGCAUAUUUAGGAAGUUCAAGAAAUCGUUAAAAGACGAUAUUACCCCUAAUGGUACUAUUAAGUUGAUUAAGCCUCGAACUAGUUCAAAUAGGAAUUUUAAGAUGAAAUUAAGAGUUUCAUAGUUCAGGGAUGACUCAAAAUGGUAAUUCGGAGUCCGAUGAUCAAUUUGGAAUGAAACCGGAAUUUUCACUAUCCAAAGGUAAAAUGGUCAUUUGCCACUUGAGGACAAAAUGAGAAUUUUAAAAAAGAUUUUUUGGCCCCAUUUGAUUUAUUGGAGUAUGAUUUGAGUAUUGGAGUAUNNNNNNNNNNNNNNNNNNNNNNNNNNNNNNNNNNNNNNNNNNNNNNNNNNNNNNNNNNNNNNNNNNNNNNNNNNNNNNNNNNNNNNNNNNNNNNNNNNNNNNNNNNNNNNNNNNNNNNNNNNNNNNNNNNNNNNNNNNNNNNNNNNNNNNNNNNNNNNNNNNNNNNNNNNNNNNNNNNNNNNNNNNNNNNNNNNNNNNNNNNNNNNNNNNNNNNNNNNNNNNNNNNNNNNNNNNNNNNNNNNNNNNNNNNNNNNNNNNNNNNNNNNNNNNNNNNNNNNNNNNNNNNNNNNNNNNNNNNNNNNNNNNNNNNNNNNNNNNNNNNNNNNNNNNNNNNNNNNNNNNNNNNNNNNNNNNNNNNNNNNNNNNNNNNNNNNNNNNNNNNNNNNNNNNNNNNNNNNNNNNNNNNNNNNNNNNNNNNNNNNNNNNNNNNNNNNNNNNNNNNNNNNNNNNNNNNNNNNNNNNNNNNNNNNNNNNNNNNNNNNNNNNNNNNNNNNNNNNNNNNNNNNNNNNNNNNNNNNNNNNNNNNNNNNNNNNNNNNNNNNNNNNNNNNNNNNNNNNNNNNNNNNNNNNNNNNNNNNNNNNNNNNNNNNNNNNNNNNNNNNNNNNNAACCUUCAAUGGCCGAACCCUAUGUGAAGUGUAGAAGUAAUGAAUUGAUUUUGUGAUCAAGUGAAUUGGUUGAAAAAUUGAUGAAAUGAUGAUUUAUGGUGAGAAAAUGGAAUGGGAAAAUUUUUAGUGAUAGUGCACCACAAUGGCCGAAAUUUUCAAGAAGAAUUGUGAGGGUUGUCAGGCUGAAUUUUAGAUUAUUGGAAUUGUAUUUAGUGAAUUGAAAUAUUAGAAAUGAAAUAGAGCAAUUUGGAGCAAAAUCGGACACAAUUGUCAUUUAAUCGGGUAAUAGGCCGAAUUAGGUCAACACCGCAUUUAAGCGAUAGUCGGAUAAGUUGAAUAUCAUAUCAUUCAUAUUGUCACGAACCGGAACUCCCAUCGAGCCCGUGACAACAGCCGCGACGUCUCGAUCGACAUUCAUUACCCGGAAUGUCAACCGGAACCCGGCAAGGUUUUAAUAUCAGCUUCUCAUUUUCCCUGUGGGUAACUGUUUUCAAAUACCACAUUCUAAAAGAUUUUAAAUUGUUUCCAACUUAAGCAAAUAAAAUAAUAAUUUUCAUCUCACAAGGGAAUUUUGGUCAUUUAUCCCAAAAAUCUCAAAAUCAUCUAAAAAUAUAGUAUGUAAGUGGAAAACACAUAUUUCAUAAUCAAAAAUAAUUUUGGAUGUCUAAAACAUUCGUUUAAAAUGGAAUUAUGACUGUUAUAAUAAAAUAAAAAUAUUAAAUAAAAUAUUCAAUUUCCACAUAAAACGAUAUUUUAAGAACAUUGCAUAAAUAAUUUUUAUAGUGUAAAAGCAAAAUAAAUUCUUACAUACCGUAAUACAGAUAACCAAAGUAUACAAUUUAAUUUACAGUGACAAGUGGGCCCACGAAUGACCAAAAGUAUCAAAAGAAAUGAACCUACAGUUUUUGGAUGUGGCAAGUUCAACUAUAAUCAUCGCCGAUAUCAGUUAUCUACAAUCUAUUCUGAGCCUGAAAUAGGUGGAAAGGAGGAUGGUGAGAUUAUAAAAUCCCAGUGAGUAAACAAACAUCACCUAAAAUAUCUAAAGUCGAGUAAAAGGAGACUAUUAAAACAUUUCAUCAAACUGUAAUUUAUCAUCUUUCAACCUAUUUCAACCAAAUGAAAUCAAUUUAUUUAAAGCAAGUAAUCAGUAUGGCUUAUGAAUUUCUUAAAAAGCUUGGCUCAUGCCAAAAAUUAUUAUCAUACUCAGUUAUCUGGGAUACCUUGGCCGAGAGCUAUCCCAACUGAGUCCGCCAAGGCUAUUAGAAAGUCGUGUUUUUAUUUUGAAAACAUAGUCGUUCCUUGGCGUUGGCCGAGUUCCCCUUCACGUGGUGGUUUAGCGUGAAGUGAAUUCUAAAAGUUAUAUCUCGGGAGUUACCCUACUCGCCUCUCCAACCGAGGUAAAAAUAUAACAGGAUUCUGUGCUCCUCUAAUAGGCUAGUCCACAGAACCCAACCUACUGCAGCAGGUCAAACCCACCAUACAAUAAAAUUUUGACAGCAUGACAGGGCUAAUAUAUUACUACCCAACCUGCAAGGGUAAAAUAAAGCAAUUCAUACAAUUCAUAAAAAUACAGCCCAGCCAGUCAUGCCAAUACAAUAACAUAAGCCAUUGAUUCAAUUUUAAAUUUACAACAUAUCAGUAGUCUCCAAUUACUCUAUUUUCAAAAUCAUUAUUUCGUUUCAAGACAAUUUAUAAAAUAUUUUCAUUUAAACUCAUUUUGUUUACAAAAUAUAAAAAUUUACCAUUUGAACUCAUUUUCAUAAAAUUCACCAAAACCGAAUAAAAACAUACUUUAGAUAAUUAAAAUGAUGGUAAGGUUACUCACCGUGUCUAAAGUGGAGAUUUUCGAAAUACUCAGACUACUGGUCUUCGGGUGCAAUUCCCUUGCCUUUAUCGGAAGACUCACCACCUUGACACAGUGCAAAAUCGAGAAAUUCACCACAUUGGUACUAAAUUGAAAUUAAACUAAUUUAGACUACUAAUGCUUGAUAUGGAAUGCAAAAAUGUCUAAAUUUUUGCCUAAAUGCGGUGUUAGCCUAUUUCGGUUUUUUACUCGAUAAAUCGAUAUACGCGUCCGUUUAAACUCCAAAUUAAUUUUUUUCAGUUUCUAUACCCCAAUUGCACCCAAAUUGACUUAAUGUCCCUCAGUGUGGUGCAAAUUAUCAGUCUCGAUAGCAAAUUACAAAAAUACCCCUAGUGGGUAAAAAUUUGUAUUUUUGCUCCUAAAAUUCUCAUUAUUUUUCUAGGCUCAUAAUUCAUUAUUAUUUAUCAUAAUUCCUCAAAUAAACAUCAAGAUCAGCAGCCAAUAUUCCCCUAGAAAAUUCGGCAUAAUGGGUUUCAAUGGGAGAAAAUUAUAUCUCUAGCUUAUUUUUGCUAUAUUUCAAUAUAACUUAACUAAAAUCGCUUAAUUCAAUUAAAAUCAACCAAAAAUCAAGCUCAAAACUCAUCCAUGGAAGUUUGGCCAGCAUGGGUGUCCAUACCCACUUUCUAAUUUUGCAUGGAAAUGAGAAAAAAAUGCAUGGGUAGUGAAAAUCACAAGGAAAAUCAAUGAAAUUUACCUUUUUAAUGCUUGAUUUCUUGAUUUCUCUUGAUUUUCCCCAAAUUUUCAGGUAGGGUUCUUAUUUUUUUCCCCCUUUUCUCUCCUGGUUUGGACGGCUGAAGAAGAUGAGAAUUCUGAAAUUUUUACCUUUUUAAAGGCUAAAAUAAAUAAUAUUAUUUUAGUCAUUUUUUUAAUGUUUUAUUAAUUUCUUAAAUUCUAGCCAUCCAUUUGUUUCCAAAUUUUCACCAUACACUUGUCCCACAUAUCCAUAGCUUAGAUAAAAUUCUCAGACUUAUCCAAACUCUUGGUGGAGUAAUUUUUGAAAUUUACACUUUUACCCCCGUAAAAGUCAAAAAUUACAUUUUUGCCCCAAAAACUGAAAAAUUGCCCCUAGACAUAUUUUUCAUCCCUUAUACUCAUACCAUUCUCCAAUUUGUCAAAUUUGAUCUAAAUUCUCUCAAAAUCUCAAAUUUUAUCCGCUAGUGGUAAAAUUACGAUUUCGCCCCUACACUCUAAAAAUCACCGAAAUUAAACUUUUUCACUGCCAAACCCUCAAAUUAUACUCCAAUACUCAAAUCAUACUCCAAUAAGUCAAAUGGGGCCAAAAAAAUUCUUUUCUAAAAAUUCCCAUUGUGUCCAUGGGUGGCAAAUGACCAUUUUACCCCUGGACAGUGAAAAUUUCAAUUUGACUCCAAAUUGAUCCUCGAACUCCAAAUCACUAUAUUAAACCAUUCUGGGACUUUAAUAUUCUUAAUUUUAUUUUAAAUUCUCUAUUUGAUCUAGUUCGAGGCUUAAAUUAACUUAAUUGUAUCAUUUGGUACAUUGUCGUCUUUUAACGAUUUUUCUUUCGGGGCUUUCCAAGUAUGCAAGCAUAUUGUCAAUCAUAUGAAUGACAUGACAAGUAUUUUAUAAGGUCGGGCUUGACACAUAUACACCGAGCCUGAAUUGAUUUUAUAAUGGUCAAGCAUUGAUGUGGUGAAUUAUGUAUUGUACAUUGUGGAUAGGUGGUGAGUAAAUUACACUGAUAAAAGUACAAAGAUUGUGCUUAGAGACUGGGAUUAGGAGUGCAUCGACUCCUAUAACUAUGAGUAAACUUAUUAUCGUCUUAAUUAUCUAGAGUAGUUUUAUACAAUUGUGUGAUUUUAUCAAAAAUGGGUUUAAAUGGUAAAUUGCUAUAUUUUAGGAGAAAUUGUGAUUUUAUAAAAUGAUUUUAUAAAUUUUUUGGAAAAUUGAAUACUGGUUUUGAAAAUAGAGUAAUUGGAGACUGCUUGUGUUGUAAAUUUAUGGUUUUAAAUUGAAUGGCUUAUGACAAUAAAUGAGCAUGAAUGGCUAAACUGAUUUUUGGUGUUAGAAUUAUUUGUACUGUGUAUUCAGCCUUGAGAGGCUAGGUUGCGAUAAAUUGUCAUGUUAUGUAGAAAAAGAUUUUAUAAAUCAAGUGGUAAAUAAAGUAAUCCAUAGUCACUACAGUGGUGGGGGUUUUCGUGGACUGCCUAUGAGAGGGGCACGGUAACCCAAUUAUAUAUUUACCUCAAAGGGGAGAUGUUGGAUGAAGUAUCUUUAGAGGUAAAGAUUUGAGUGCACUUCACGUGGACCACCGCGUGAGAGUGAGACUCGGCCAACACCAAGGCAUGGCUAAAAUUUCGGAUGUAAAGACAUUUAAAAGCCUUGACAGACUCAGUUGGGAUAAUCCUCAAUCAAGGUAUCCCUGAUAACUGAGUAUGAGAAUGAUUUUUGGCACGAGCUAAGCUUUUCAGGAAAUCAUAAGCCUAGUUGUUUAUUUGAUUGAAAUGAGUUGAAAGGUAAUGAAAUUACAAUAUGAUGACUUAUUUUAAUUUGUCUCCAUUUACUCGCCUUUAGAUAGUUUAGAUGGUGUCUGUUUACUCACUGGGAUUUUAUAAUCUCACCACCCUCCUUUCCUCACAUUUUAGACUCGAGGAAUUCCAUAGUUAGCUGACUUUGACAAAGACCUUCAUUUGGACUUGAAUCGGCAAAAGCUAUAGGUUUUCAGCUUCUGAUGUAUUUUGGUUAGAUGUGGGCCCACGUGUCACUGUAAAAGUAAUUUUAUGCUUUGGUUAUUUGCUUUAUAGUAUAUAUGAAUAUAAUUAACUUUUACGUUAUAAGAAUUAUUUACCGAUAGCUUUAUAAAAAUUAUUAUACAAGAAAAUAGUUUAUUUUAUUGAAUAUUUUUAUUAUAUUCAAAUGGUCAAAUUUUCACUUCAAAUGAACGUUUUAGAUACUUAAUUUGUUUUCAAAUCACUAAAUAUAUAUUUUUUGCUUACCUACUACAUUUUUAGCAAGUUUUGAGAUUUUUGAGAAAAAAUGACGAAAAUGCCCCUGUGAGCCAGAAAACAAUAUGUUAUGUUUUGAUUUGGAAAUGACUCGUAAUCCUUUGAAUUACGAUAUUUGAUAACUAUUGCUCAUCGGGGAAGUGCAAAAGCUGAUACGAGAGCUUUACGAGGUUUCGAUUGGCAUUCGGGGUGAAGAAUGUCUGUCGAGGCUUCGCGACGGUUGUCACGGGCUCGAUGAGAGUUUCGGGUCAUGACAACACCCAUUCAAAAAAUGAGUAGUAAAUUUGAUCCAUUAUGCUAAGUAGAUUGGUGGUAAAUUUGAACCUUAUGUCAAAUUAUUCUAUGAAGUUUGUAUGUGAAAAUAUGGCAGCUAGCACAUACCCAAAUUAAAUUUGUAAAUAACAUAUACAUGUUCUAUAAUCAUGUUUUCCAACUAAUUGAUUUAUAUAUUGUUUGUUAACUCUUUUUUUUUAAGAAACAGAAAUUCUUUUACUAAGAACUUUUUUGGGAAUAAUUUGUUUAAUUGUGUUGGUUAGAUGAAAAUUAAAAAGUAGCAUUUGUCGAUGGAUGACAUGAUUGAAAAUUUUCUUCAGAGUCAAAACAAUUUAAUGCUUAUAAGAUAUUCUUAUUUUGAAAUAAAAAGAAUAACUGAUGGUUUCAAGAAUAAAUUAAGUCAAGGAGGAUAUGGUUCUAUGUUUAAAGGAAAACUUCGAAGUGGUCAACUUGUUGCAAUAAAAUUGUUAAACAAAAAAAAAAGGUAUCACCCAAGAUUUCAUCAAUGAAGUUGCAACUAUUCGAAGGAUUCAUCAUGUUAAUGUGGUAAGACUUAUUGGAUUUGGCGUGAAGGGAUCAAAAUAAGCUCUUGUAUAUGACUUCACGAAGAAUGGGUCAUUGGAUAAAAUUAUAUUUUCAACUAAAAAUAACACCUUGAGUUGGCAAAAAUGUUUGAGAUUGCAUUGGGGGUGGCUCGAGGUAUUGAAUAUUUACAUAGAGGUUGUGAAGUGCAAAUUUUACAUUUUGAUAUCAAGCCACAUAGCAUUCUUUUAGAUGAGAACUAUACUCCAAAAGUUUUAGAUUUUGGCCUCACAAAAUUGUAUUCAGUGGAUGAUGAUGUUAUUUAUCUCAUAGUAGCAAGAGAUACGAUAAGUUAUAUGGCUCCAGAAUUGUCACGACCCGGAACUCCCAUCGAGCCCAUAACAAUCGUCGCGAAGUCUCGUUAGACAUUAUUUACCCUAAAUGCUGAUCGAAACCUCGUAAGGCUUUCGUAUCAGUUUUCUUACCUCCCCUGUGAUCGACAGUAACUAAAAUCGUGUUUUGAAACGAAAUGGACCAUUUUUCCAUCCAAAAACAAUGAAAAUUUAUUUCUGCCUCACAGGGGUAUUUUAGUCAUUUUUUUUCAAAAAUACGGAAACCCUUUAAAGUAGAUAACUGAAGUAUAAAAUUACUUUUCAGUGAUACGUGGGCCCCCAACUGACCAAGAAGGUGUAGGGCUACGAACCCUUACUUUCUAGGAUGCAACUCCGAGAUUAAUUCUCGUCUUAAUCAACUAUCAACAAACUGUCUUGAGCCUGAAAAAUGGAUAGAAAGAGGGGUGAGAUUACAUAAUCCCAGUGAGUAAACAAUUACCAUCAAAAACAUCUAAAGCCGAGUAGACGGAGACAAUAUAAAAACGUUAUAUCUCAAUAAUGUUCAUAACGCAAAAUUCGUUUCAAUCUAUACCAAACAAUUUCUUUUCGUCAAAAUUUCCCGGCUUAUGAAUUUCUUAAACUUGGCCCUUGCCAGAAUCAUUCUUGCGGGUACCUUCGUCAAGGUAUCCCACUGAGACAGCCAAGGCUGUUAAAUGUCCCAUACCCAUAAACAUGUUUUCGCAUCUGACACACAGCCGUUCCUUGGCGUUGGCUGAGUCUCACUCUCAAGUGGUGGCUCGAACGUGAGGUGCACUCGAAUCUUACCUCAAGAGAUACUUCAUCCAACAUCUCUCCCCAGAGGUAGGUAUAUAGUUGGGUUACCGUGCCCCUCUCAUAGGCAGUCCACGGAAACCCCCACCACUGCAGUGACCGUUUAAUAUACCACAAGACCCAUAAAAUUUUCAGUAGCAUAAUAUGGCGAAUAAAAUUUAAUCCAGUCUAUCAAGAUUAAUCCAAAACUGUUCAUAUAUGUCAUGUCAACCCCAAAAAUUUAGCCAUCAUGUUACCAUAGUGUCAUAAGCCACAAUUUCAAUAACAUAUAAAAUCAUAAAUUCAACACAGUCUCCAUAUACUCGAUUUUUCCAAAACAAUAUUUAAUUUCAAAACCAGUAUAAAUCUCAUUUUUAUUAAAAAAACAUUUUAAUUGGAAAACAUAAUAUUUUAUAAUUUAAACUCACCAUUCAAUAAAAGCAUCAAACAAGUAUAAUUACUCUAGAGAUUUAAGAUGAUAAAUUGUCCACUCACAGUACUAGGAGUAGAAAUACUCCAAUUUUCAGUCCGCGGGUACAGUCCUUUACCCGUAUCUAAUGGCUCACCACCUAGCCAUAAUCCAUGACACAUAUUCUAAUUAAAUUGUGUCUAACAGUUAUAAGCUAUUUCAAGCUCGAUAUAUAUGCAUGAUAUGAAAAUGAAAAAUACACGAGUAGCCAUCUAGACCCGGUAUUGGCCUAAGUCGAUUUUUCAUCCGAUAAAUUGGCCAAUGCGUCCAAUUUCACUCCAACUUGCUCCAUUUUUUUCCCAAUCCCUCAAUUCACGAAACACAAACUAAUUAACACAGAAUUAGGCAAAAUUUAUCUUCACUUUUCUUCUUAGAACUUUUGGCCAACAAUGGUACACUAACUCCAUGAUUUUUUCUACUUAAUUUUCUCUCCAUGAUUCAUUAAUUCCUACACAAAAAACUAUUAUUUCUUAAUCAAAUCACUUAUAAUAACAUCUCAUUCUUCCUCAUUAUUCACUUAGAGAAUUCGGCUAUUGAUGGACACCAAACUUUUGGUGGUUUUCUUCACUUGUUUUCAUGCUACACAUCAUUAAUCACCUAAAAACACUAACAUACCUAAAAAUCAAACCAAUCCAAGAUCAUUCUCUCUCCAUACCCAUUUUGACCAGCCAUGAAUUCACCAUGAAAGCAUGCUUUUCAACCAUGAAAAUUAAGGGAAAAUGCAUAGGAAAAAUAGUUCAUAAACUAAAAUCAAGAAAUUUCACCUUUUUCCACUUGAUUUUCUUGAAAAUCCACACUUUUCUCUUGAAUUUCUUUCCACCUAGGGUUUGUUCUUCUUUUCCCCUUUGUUUUCUUGCCAAAGCUGACCCUUAUGAGAGAGAAAUGGUGGUGUGGGCUGAUUUUUAUAGUUAAAUAAUAUAAUAAUUUAAACUUGCCACAUGGCAUUCCAUGAUUGGCCCAUUUUUUUAAAUUCUUAUCUUUUAAGAUUUAAAUCUCCACCACACAUUUUUCAAGGGUCAAAAAUGAUGAUGGGUGAAGACCUUGUGCUGGAAAAAUGCUCUCGGGGUGCAAAAUUACCAUUUUGCCCCCGAAGUGACAAAAUUACCAUUUCACCCAGGUACUCCAAAUUAUACCGAAAUUAAAAUUUUUUACUUCUAAACCUCAAAUCAUACUCCAAUAAGUCAAAUGGGGUCAAAAAAUCUUUUUUAAAAAUUUUAUUUUUGUCCCCAGGUGAUAAAUUACCAUUUUACCCUUAGAUAGUGAAAAUUUUGGUUUGACUCCAAAUUGAUCCUCAAACUCCGAAUUACCAUUUUGAGUCAUCCCUGGACUGUGAAACUCUUAAUUUCACCUUAAAAUUUCUAUUUGAACUAGUUCGAGGCUUAAUCGACUUAAUGGUACCAUUAGGGGCAAUAUCGUCUUUUAACAAUUUCUCGAACUUCCUAAAUAUGCAAACAUUCUAUUGAGCAUGUAAAUAACGUCGUAAUUAUUUUAUAGAACAGGGUUUGACAAGAAUUGUUUUAUAAAAAUAUCAGAGGUAUCUCAUAUAAAGCCUAUGUUUAUAGUUUUGGAAUAAUGUUAAUGGAAAUUAUGGGAAGGAGAAAAAAUUUAAAUGCCUCUACCUAAUAUUCAAGUCAAAUUUAUUUUCCAUCAUGGAUAUAUGAUGGAUUAGAUGAAGGAGAUAUCAUGGAGCUUGGAGAUGUGACAAAAAUUGAAAACAAAAUUAUGAGGAAAAUGAUAAUGGUAGCCUUAUGGUGCAUACAGAUGAAACCCAUAGAUCGUCCUUCAAUGAGUAAUGUCUUAAAGAUGCUUGAAAGUGAAGUUGAGAUCCUUGAAAUGCCUCCCAAGCCUUCUUUUUCUCGAAAUGUCAACUAAAAAUAGUAAGAAUUCUCACCACACACGCGACAAUCAGCCUUCCUCAACUACCUUGUGAUAUUCGUCAUUGGGACUACUAGGAUUUGACCUCAUGUUCAAAUUAGAAAAUAAUCAAUAAAUUAAAAAUAUAAUGCAACGAAAAAAUAAAUUAGUAUUUAAUCAUGAAACAGUCGAAUCUUACAAUAUCAAUGUUUGUGCUUUUCAUGUAACUUUCAAAUUAAUUAUAAACAUUCAUAAGUUUAAGAGUUACAAAUCUUGCUCCAUAUAUGGUAAUCAAGAGCCAAUUAAAUCCAAAAUCUUUGUUUCUUCACCUUUGGGAUUUGUCAAAUCUUCAGCCACCCAAGUGUUUGGCCUUUAACAGUAAUCCACACAGUGACCGAAUAUGACCUUCUCAAAGGUAGGAUUUUUUACUUGUGCUGGCAAGUUUUGUUUCAAAAAAAAAAAAAAAACCAAAAGUUCUUGCUAAAUCUUAUUUUUAUCAGACAAAAAAAAUAAUUUUUCUUUUCUUAUUUUAUGAAGCAACUGAAAAGUGGUUGGCGGCUUAGAGUUUUAGUUUGCUAAUAUAAUAUAUUUAUAUAACCGAAUUAAGUUGUAACCCUAAAAACAAUAGUUGUAUUUUAAUUUAAUUAGGUCUCUAAGAACUUAAUUAAUUUUGUACUUUAUUUUGGUCUCUUUCAAUUAAGUCCAACUUAAUUAAUUAUCCUCAUUUAAUCCCAAUCAUGUUACUUAAUGUGUUUGACCCAUUAGGCUUCUAACAUGUUGGCAAUAAAUAUAAAUAAUAAUCAAAUAUCAAUUUGAUAAUUAAUUUAUAUUUAUAGAUCAUAAGCGGCAUUUAGCAAUGUAUCGUGACCACCUAAAUGUUAGAGAGUUAAUUAAAGAAUUUGACAAAGCUUUUCAGUGAUAAGCCUCUUAGUAUAAUACAGUCCUUUCAUCAAAUAUCUCGGAUAUGUCAUUAAGCAUGGCUCAGUGUCUACUUAUAACAUUCGAUAUUAGUUCUCAUAAUUCAUGAUUAACUUUAUGAAUUUAGGAAACUAACUUUUCUCAAAUUCGUCAUGCUUUGGCCAAAGACUUUAUACAAGUUAAUCAAGAAUUGAGAACAAGUGAGAUACAUCCCCUCAUAUCACUUGGGGUAAUAAAUCCUCUCUUGACCACUCAUUCACCUUCGCAUGCUUCAUGGCAUAUCCAAAAGAGUACUUUUCAUUAAUGGGCCAGAGGCAUAAGGCGUUUUUAAGAAUGGUCUUCCUUAUAAUUUUAUCUUUUUUUAGCCAAGAGAAAAAAAAUUGGACAAAAUUAUCCUUAAUGAAACCGACCCAUUCACUAGGCUCCACACCUCAACCCGAAACCUAUUAACGGGUUAAGUAUGUUUAGGUUUGCGCCACAAACUGACUCAUAUUUUUUGAGCUUUCCUUACUAGACUAUUCAUCUCUAGAGUAUUCCUUACCAGAAAGAAAAACGUUUAAGUAUUGUGAGCAUUUUAGAGUAGUUUUUGAUACACGAAGAAAACUUGUGAGCGUUUUGAGCAUUUUUAAACAUUUUAGAGUGAUUUUUGAUAUAUGAAGAAAAACUUUCGAACAUUUUGAGCAUUCAUAUUUGUUAAUUAUGUUGUUAAAUAAAAUAUGGUGUAUCGUUUGAAGUUGUUGAUCUUGUUAAAUGGAAUUCAGUAGUUUUGGUGAUUUUUGAGAAUUAUGUGACUACUUUUUAGGCAUUGCGUGACUGACUUUGGAUAUUACGUGACUGACUUUGGGCAUUACGUGACUGAUUUUUGAUAAGGUAUUGCGUGACUAGUUUUUGAUAAGGCAUUGCUGACUAGUUAAUAGGCAUUACGUGACUGACUUUGAGUAUUGCGUGACUAGUUUUUGAUAAGGCAUUGCGUGACUAGUUUCUAAUAAGGCAUUGCGUGACUAGUUGAUAGGCAUUGCGUGACUAACUUUGGGCAUUGUGUGCCUAGUUUUUGAUAAGGCAUUACAUGACUAGUUUCUGAUAAGGCAUUGCAAGACUAAUUUAUAGGCAUUGCGUGACUUGUUAGUAAGGCAUUGCGUGACUUGUUAGUAAGGCAUUGCGUGACUUAUUAGUAAGGCAUUGCGUGACUAGUUUGUAGGGCAUUGUGUGACUUAGGCAUUAGUUAAAAAUCAGUCACGCAAUAUAUAAAAACUAAUCACGUAAUGCCUAAAACCAAUCAUGUAAUGACUAAAAACUAGUCGUGCGGUGAUUAAGUCACGCAAUACCUAAAAACCAGUAAACUCAAUUUUUGGUUCUAUGAAUAAACCAAUAAACUCAAGAACCUAAAACACAUAUUUUUUUUUUGCUAAGCCAUAAAAUUGUGCAUUUCAUAAAAAAUAGAUUACAAAACUCCAUAACCCUCUAAAACAAGAGAAAAUAUAUCCCUAUCGGGAGGUCUUGCUCACUCCCUUUAUCCAAAAACAAAAUAUACCCUCUUUACAAAAUAUUUUCUGAACAAUUUCAACUCAAAAUCCCUAGCAAACAUGCUUAACAAUCAUCCUAAUCCCAGACACAAUAAAACUGUGAACCACCAUAAAACCCAUCAAACAUGCUUUAGCUGUUCUUUCUCCAUAAGCAAAAUCACUGCCUGCAAAUAGCAAAAUCGUUGUUCAUCGCCCUUAAGAACCCCAAGAUCAACCAUCCAAAAAAUUAAAAUAAAAUAAAAAAGAGCUUGAUGUCAUAUCUACGAAUUGGAUGGCGAGAUAGACAUAUUUAAGCAGAGAGAGAAAUCAAGAUUUAAUUUUGAAAUUUUUAUCUAGAUGGCGAGGGAGAGAAAACUGAAACUAUUUUAAUCUGUCUGAAAUAGUUUAAAGGAUAUUAUUGUCAAGUCAUAGCAAAAAUUGACCAAAAAUAGUUAAAAUUAUAAAAAAAAUGAUAUUUUUGAAUUGAGCUUAUGAGGAAGGUUAUUUCUCACAAUUUCCUCUAUCCAAAAACAAUUUGUUUAGGCAUCUAGUCGUUUCCAAACCCGUUGGAGUGAAAUCAAAGUAUGUCAUUUCUUAUACAAGAUGACCUAGUGUCUCAAGUCUGAAGACUGGUUGCAUGACUAUCACAUGAGAAUAUUUUUCAUAGACAUUUGAGUGAAAUACCAAAUAGAGUUCUCAUAGCGGGUCAUGUUCAGUGAACUUAUUCUUUAACAAGCACCUACAUAUUAUCCUCAAGUAUCCCUUAUACUUCAAUCUAUAAAAUCGAUUGCUUACUUCCCAAGUAAGGAUGCUUAAUAUGUACCAGUCUUUGAGCAUUGUCAAUGCCCUGUCUUGACAAUACAAUGACCAAGAACAAUUUUAGAAACAUGGCUUUGAUGCAUAGUGAUCUCAUAAUUGUAACAACUUUACAAUUCUCUUGCAAGGCUUUUAUGUUCCAUUGGCUUCAUCAAAUUAGUACUUAAUAACUCCUUAUUAUUACACUAACAUGAAGGAAAACCUCUAUCACAUAUAAUUAUGAGAUUAAAUAUGCAUUAAAUGACAAUAUAUAUUCCUUGACUAAUAUAAUUAGCUCAAGGUUAUAUACCAAUAGGGACGCCACUCAACAUUGUGAUCUUACUAAAUCUGAUUAUUUUUUCUGUAUUUAGAUUUUUGAGUGGUACAUAGUUUUGUUUCCACCAAGAUCUAGCAGGCAGUGUUUGUAUUCUCUCUACUACCUUUGUUCGUUUUGUUUCUGCUACUUUUCUAUAUCCCUAUAUCUGAUCUCUGAUGAAAUAAAUCAUUUCCUCACUUGCAAAAAAUUUGCAAGAAAAUGUAAAUUUUAUUUUUCCCUUAUUUUAUACGAAGAAAAUAUGUUUUAUCUUAUAUUUAUAUUUUUAUGUAUGUAUGUAUGUAUCUAUAGUAUUAGUUGUUUAAACUUUUUAGGUGCAACUAAAAUACUUCUAACAAAAGAUUGUAUAGAGCAGCCAAAUUUGUAAUAAAAUAUUUUUAAUAACACAAGUUAACAAAAUUUUAAAUGCUAAAGUUAUUGUAGUGUGUUUUUUCCCUUCGGUUCUAGACUCUAAGCUAAUUGAAUUUUCAAAGAAAGAUUUGCUUUCAUUUGCAGCUACAGAAUGAUAAGCAGAACAACCAAGAUAAGAUUAUCUUAGUUCUUAGUUAAUCUUUCUUUUUAAACUUUUUUAUACAUAUACCAAAACAUGUAAAAUAUGGGCUAAUUGGUCCUUUUAGACUUAAUAGGUUGACGGUGAAAUUUUAAGACUACACAAUGAAUUUAUAGGAUUGCUCGAGUGAUUUUGUUUAUAUCUUAUUGGAGGUUUAUAUUAAUCUCUUAACUCAGACAAAUUACAAAGAUUCCUUUUCUGUCAGUUUCAUUAUCAAUCAGUUGCAUACGUUGUUUCUUCACUUAUUUCUAUUUGAGUGUAAAAUCAGCUAAGAGCUUUGAUUGGCUUUAGUUAGUUGACUUGACUGACUUUCGAAUAAAGACAAGUGAGCAAGAAUAACCGUACAUUUUCCCCAUGAGAUUUUCUAUGUGAAAAAAGCCAUACAAGUCUUAGAGGUGAGUCUUGACAAGGAUAACUCUCCAUUCCUCAUUAGUUCAUAUCCUUGCUACAUCCUUGGUGGAAAAAGCCUACCACUCGGUAGAAGAUUUGUUGGAAUCUAUACUAAAAAAGAUAAAGCAAAAUACACGAAAAAGUAAUAAAUAUUUAACAGUUAAUAACAAAAGAAAUAAGAAAGAGUGUUGAAUGUGAAACUUGGUUCAAAACACGUUAUGAAAGGCAUUGAUUUUAAAGUAGAUUUCCGUUGUUACCUCAGUGCAAAUAACAAUCAAUGAUGUCUUACUCCAAAGAUACAAGAACCACUCAAAGAUAUUCUAAUGUGCACUCAAAUAGAAAAUCUGGUAAACUUGUAAAUCUCUUAACUAUUCUUGAAGGAAUUUAGAAUGAAAAAAAAUAGAGUUUUUGGAAAUAUAAAAUGCUUUAAAUGAAUUUUUCAAAAAGAAAACCUAGGUAUUUAUAGAUAGUGAACCAUCACUAAUGUAUCUCUUCAUUUAGAUGCAUUUACUCAAAAGUGAACAAAUGUGUCCUUUUAUAAGUACAUACUUUUCUACAAUCAAAAGUUAUACCUCUUUCAACAAACAUAUUAAAUUUUGAGUCACUAAAAAUAAAAUAAAAAUUAAAAAUCCAACAAGAAUUGGUGUACAUCUCCCUUAUUAUACAUGCACCUCAAUAUAGGAUCAUAUAUCUCUUAAAUUGUAGGAUGAAAAUGAACUCUUCGGUUUACAUUGGUGCUUCUCAUUCCACCAAUCGGUGUUCCUCUACAUCUUUUGUUUCUUCGGUAUUUUACAUUGUUAAUGGGACAAUUUGAUAAAAAGAUCAAAAUAUAAUUCUUUGAAAAUAUUAUGUACAAUAUACAUGAAAAAAUAUUACGAAUUUAAUUUCUUUAAUUAUUGCGAGAGUUAUAAAAAUAAUUGUAGAAGCAAGUCUAAUGACCAUAGGCUUUAUUUGAAUAGAUAUUUUUCUUCUUUUUCGUGUCCAACUGGUCGUAACCUGUUUUCAAAUUUAAAUAAAUAAGAAAAAAGUAUCCAAGACUUUGAGUAUUUCAGAUAGUUAUUCACGAGCUUCACUAUCUUCAUGCAACAAAUUUGAAUUUUUAUUUUGGAAAGACAAUUUUGAAGUUUAGAUAUGCGUAAUUUUUUUUUUUUACAAAGUGAAAAUGUACAUAUAAAGUACAAGGAAAGAUAUACUUGUAUCUAUAUAAAAUUAAAUUAGUUAAACAGUCUUUUAUAUUUUUUAUACAAUUUAUAUUUUGUUAAUCCAACUGUUGAAAUUGUUAUAUUCAUAUAAAUCAUGCAUAACAGAUUUCAAAUUAAUAAAAAUGAUUAACUAUUUAUUUGAUAAAAAUAAAAUUCUAAUUGUGAUAUAAAAUAUAAAGAAAAAUAUACUAAGAAAAUAAUUGAGAGAAGAAUUGAGAAAAAAACUUUGGGUUCAUUUCUCAUGAGAAAAGAACUUCUGGUUCAUUUCUCAUUAUUUCUGAUUAUUAUUGAUUGUGAUUUUUUCAUUGAGUGCAAAGCUCUAUUUACAUUGAAUUGACUUUGAAACUUUACAUAAGUGAUAAGUAAAAGUUGUUAAAUCUAACAAAAAUAUUAAUUUCUUAGGAAGUUAUAUAAAAGUGUAAAACUAAUUAUUUUUACAUAUAUAAAUUAUUAAUUUAUCAUGAUUUAGGCUUUUGUGUGCGAUUUUUUCAUAUUUAACUGUAGUUGAAAAUAUGCAAUCUUUGAUAAUAUAUGCAUGUAAUAUUUUUGUUGGUGCAAAGGGGGUUUAUACGGUAUUCAAAAGAAUUAGCAAAAUUGACUUCAAGGUGAGCCUUUCAAAUAGACGUCUAUCUUUAAGACUUAUUUUGCCCCUACCACUUGAUAUGUAAAGGGGAAUAAUGCGAAUAGUCUCAAAGAUACAAUGAAGCAAACGUCUAACUUUCAUAUUGUACUUACGAAGUAGAUUGCUGGAUACACCCAAGGAUUUGCAAAGUUGCUUGGCCUUAGAACCAACUUUCUACAGCAAGUAGAUUGUAAGGAAUUCGGAAUAUCUUGUAGAUGAUGGAAACUUAAGUAUUUAUAUUUAUAAUAAAACACAACACUUAUCUUGCUCUUGACUUUUCUACUCUUGUCUUGUUUUUGAUUGUUUGGUGUGUUAAAAUGGUUGGCAACAAGCCCUUUAUAUAAGCUUCCAAGUGUAUUUUCUUCCAAGACACAACCCUUUCAUAAAGAUACCUUUUGUCUAAAAGGUAUCUCUACAUUUUUGCCAACACAACUUUUAGAUAAAGGUAUUGUUUCAAUAGUCACCUUACAAAAGAUAGCUAUUCAUUCCAUAAGGUAUAACCUUUGAGUUAUAACUUGAACAAUAACUUUUCACAUUUAACUUUUGAGCAUGUGGUGUCUUUUCAAUAUGUCUCUUAACUUUUGGAUGUCAUUUUUCAAAAAGACACAACUUUUCACAUGAAAACUUGCUUAUAUUCCAAUAGACACAUUAUGUCACUUUUCGUGACAUAAAUUUUGAGCUAAUGAUAGCUUUUCCAUCAUGUGACAUAACCUUUAAUUUUGAAAAAAUACCAACAAUCCCCCACCAUUUUCAAAAUUUUCAAAUACCAAUAACUUUGGGAAACUUAUGCAUAAAUGAAGGUAUCCUGCAGAUUUGAACCUUCACUUAGUGAGUGUGGUUGGUUCUAGUCUGAAUUGAGUGGUUGACCAAGCAUUGAACCAUCGAUUCUUCAUUGACUAGUCGGGUCACUAAACACACACAAGCUUCCUUGCACACAUUGUAUCUAGUUUUGACAAUACGUUUUAUGGCCUUCUGUUUUGUAUCCAUUCAUAAGUGCUGUCAGAGUCAAGCCUUUAACUCCUAGAAGUGGCCACAUUUCCACUCAUAUAGGUAGCCCCCAUCGAAAAUACCCCAUAAUUAUAGUACUUCAAUAUAUACAUGUUAUGGGUUUAUUAAGAACUUUCGUUCAACCUUACUUUACACAUUACAGGAACCAAGCACUAUACACCUUGGGAUGGAAAAUAUAACUUAGUGCUUGCAGUCACCAUGUGGUAGAAUGGUAAGUACCCGAGACUUGCAAGUCGGCUACAAGCUUCGAGGUGAUUUCCCACCAUUGGCAACUUAGUUGAUAAGCUUGAGACCUAUUCCUCUUGAGGUCUUUAUAACCAUAUCCUUUUUCAAACCUUUAGUAAAUGGAUCUACUAAAUUUUCACAGACCUCACAUAACUUAUAGUGACUAUACCAUCACUAAUUCUUUGUCGUCUUACAAUGCUAUGUCGAAGUCCAAUAUAUCGACUCUUCCAUUGUAAGCUUGAUUAUAUGCUUUUGAUACAGUUGAUUCAUUGUCACAAUGUAUCAAGAUUGGUGCCGUUGGUUUAGGCCACUACGAAAUUUGAUAGAGUAAAUCUCUCAACCAUUCCGCUUCUUGGGUGGCAAAUGCUAAGGCUAUAAAUUUAGUCGCCAUGGUGGAGUCUGCUUGACAAGAUUGUUUCUUAGAACCCCUAGAAACAGCACCCCCACCAAUUGUAAAAAUCCAACCAAUCGUGGAUAUGUACUCUAUUCUAUUUGAGUUCCAACUUGCAUUUGUAUACCCUUCUAAAACCGAAGGAAAACCUGAAUAGCAGAUGCCAUAAUUCUUUAUACUCUUUAAGUACCUUAGAACUCUAUGAACAACAUACCAAUGUUUUUUACUCGGAUUACUUGUAAAUCAGCUUAGCAUCCCAACCGCAAAAGCAAUAUCCGGCCUUGUACAGACCAUUGCAUACAUAAGGCGUUCAAUCACCUUUGCAUAUUCAUUUUGUGCUAUUGCCUUGUCUUCGUUAGGUAUUAGCCUUAGAUUAGAAUUAUAAGGCAUAGUCAUUGGCAUACAAUCUGACUUGCCAUACUUCAUUACAAUCUUUUCGAUGUAAUGAGAUUGAGACAAUGUUAGGCCAUUAUUGUCUCUUAUUAUUCUUGUACCAAGAAUAACAUCUGCCAUACCCAUAUCUUUCAUGUCAAAAUUCUUUGACAAGAACAUUUUUGUGUCUUCCAUUUGUUCCAAAUCGGUACCAAAUAUUAACAUGUCAUCUACAUAUAAACAAAUGAUGACACCUCUACCAUUAUGGAACUUACUAUAGACAUACUUGUCAAAUUGAUUAACCUUGUAGCCAUUAGCUAGCACAACCUCAUCAAACUUUUGAUACCAUUGUUUGGGUGCUUGUUUUAAUCCAUACAAGGACUUUACAAGCUUACAUACUUUCCUUUCUUGACCAGAAAAGACAAACCCUUCAGGUUGUUCCAUAUACACCUCUUCAUCUAACUCACCAUUUAGGAAUGUUGUUUUAACAUCCAUCUGGUGAAUUACCAUCUUUUAUAUAGAUGCAAGUGCUAUAAGCACUCUAAUUGUAGCUAUUCUUGCUACCAGUGCAUAUGUAUCAAAAUAAUCAACACCUUCAUUUUUUUUAAAGCCUUUGGCUACUAGCCUUGCUUUAAACUUUUCUACGGUUCCAUCAACUUUCAUUUUCUUUUUGAAAUCCACUUACAGCUUAUUGGCUUGGAACCUGGUGGAAGGUCUACCAAUUUCCAAGUUUUGUUUCCCAUUAUUGAGUCCAUCUCAUCUUGUAUUGUUUCUCUCCAAAAUGAAACAUCAUGAGACUUCAUUGUUUCAUAAGUUUGAGGAUCACCUUCACCUUCUACAUGAAAGCAGUAAGGUAAGUAUUCACAUGUUUCCUCUCUUGUACCUUCUACUAAGUACAUGAGGAAAUUGGAUCCAUAUGUUUUUGCUUACUUAAUUCUUUUACUUCUUCGAAGCUCAAUAGUUUUCUCAUCAUUUUUUGAAGGCUUAUCACAUUUUGUUACUAGGUCUUUGGGUCUUGGAAUUGAAUUGAACCUUGUUUCAUCAAAGAUAACGUCCCUCGAGUCUAUGACUGUAUUAACAGAAUAUGAAUAAUUGGGCUCUAUCACCAUGAAACGAUAUGCUUUACUAUGUCCAGGAUAUCCUAUAAAUAUACAUUCAAUUCCUUUUUCACCCAAUUUCCUUUUUUUUUUUGCUCUGAAACUCUUACCAUGGCUCGACAUCCCCAAACUCUUAAAUAAUUAAGAUUUGGCUUUCGCUCUUUCGAUAGUUCAUAAGGAGUAGUUUUGCUCCUUUUGUUUGAGAUUCUAUUUAGUAUAUGGCAAGCCGUUAAUAAGGCUUUGCCCCAAAAUCCUUUUCCCAAACUUGAAUUAGAAAGCAAAGCAUUGACCAUUUCCGUAAGAACUCGAUUUUUACGUUCUGCUACACCAUUUUGUUCCGAUGUGUAUGUAGUGGUAGUCUCGUGAAUAAUUCCAGUGGACUCAAAAUACUUGGGAUCAUAAUAUUCACCUCCUUUAUCAUUUCGUAAACAUUUAAUAAACAAUUCACAACACAAUUCAACUUCUCUUUUAUAAAUUCUAAAUUUCUCCAAUGUUUCAUCUUUAGUAUGCAAUAAGUAAACAUAGCAAUAUAUAGAUAAGUCAUCAAUAAAUGUUACGAAGUAUUUCUUUCCACUGAUAGAAGGAGUACUAUGCAUGUCACAAACAUCAGAAUGUAUUAAUUCAAGUAAUUUUGUGCUUCUUUCUACCUUAGGAAAUGAACUUCUUAUGAUUUUAGUAACCAUGCAUGUCUUGCACAUAUCAUUAUUUUCAUCAAUGUUGGGUAUUAAUUCUAAUUUAGCCAUAUCAUGCAUUCUUCUAUAAUGAACAUGACCUAAUCUAUUAUGCCAUAGAUUAGUUGGGAUUGCUUUACUAUCAUGAACAUUGAACGAGGCAUUAAUAUAAGUAGAACUAGUAAGAUUCUUAUUGACAUUAAGCUUGAACAUGUUUUUACAAUAGUAUCCACUUCCCACAUAAUGUCCACCUUUUGUAAAGAUGAACUUAUCCUCUUCAAAUAUUAAUUUGAAACCAUACUUAUUCAACAAGCCACCUGACACAAGGUUCUUUCUAACUUCUGUAACAUAAUAGACAUUGUUUAGUACAAGUAUCUUUCCAGAAGUAAACAUAAGUUCCACAGUGCUUUUUCCUUUCACUUGUGUAGUGGAGGAAUUUCCCAUGUAUAGUACAUUUCCAUUAUUAACUUCUUUCAAAGUCUUAAAAAAGCUUUUGCUGUUGCAUGCAUGAUUAGUUGCACCAGUGUCAAUCCACCAUGCUCCAUCAUCUUGGAGAAGAUUGACCUUAGAAACCAUAGUCAUAAAUUUGUUGUGGUUCACACCUUGUGUCUUGUUUCUCAAAAGUCUACAUUCCGCCUUAAAGUGACCAAGUUUGUUACAAUGAAAACAUGGCCCUUUUUUGUUCCUUUUAAACUUAUGACAUUUGUCAUUCAUACCCACGAAAUGUUUUCUUUUGUUGCAUAAAAAUGGCUUGUUUAAUGGUUUGUGUUCCAUCACAUGGACCUUUAAAGUCUCAAGAUUCUUUUCAUUAGAAUCUUUUUCAUCUUGCUUGACUUCUUCUUGCUUACAAUAAUCUUCUUCUAUUUGAAGAUGAUUACCAAGCUCUUCGACAGACAUAUCCUCUUUUCUAUGUUUUAGGAAUUUCUUUGUGUCUCUCCAUGAAGGGGGAAGUUUAUCAAUUAUUGAAGAUACCACAAUAGCUUCAUCUAUUUUAAGACCAUAUUGCUUAAAGCUAUUGAGAAUGUGUUCAAGUUCAUGCAAUUGUUCCAUAACAAAAUGAUUAUCAACCAUUUUACAAUUAUUGAAACAACUAACCAGGAAUUGUUUGCUGCUUGCAUCUUCCGUCAUGUAUCUUGCUUCCAACUUGUCCUAAAGUUGCUUUGCACUAGCUUCGUUCUGGUACGCAUCGAACAAAGCAUCCGGCAUUUCAUUAAGAAUGUGUCCCAUGCAUAUGUAGUCAUCAUUAUCCCAUUUUUGCCUUGAACAAGUUCUUUUCACGGAUUAUUCACCAUCUUCUUCACUUGGUCGUGGUGUAUCUAGAACAUAAGCGACUUUAAGAGUUAUGAGUAGGAAGUGUAUCUUUUCCAGCCAUCAAAUGAAGUCUCCUCCAUCAAAGCAAUCUAACUUGACAAUGUUGGUAGUUAUCUCUUUGAGUGAAGCCAUUUUGAAUACCACGAAAAUAAGUCUUAAAACUAUUGGUGCGAAGGGGGUUUAUACAAUAUUCAAAAGAACUAGCAAAAUUGACUUAAAAGUGAGCCUUUCAAAUAGACGUCUAUCUUUAAAACUUAUUUCGCCCCCACUAUUUGGUAUGCAAAGAGGAAUAAUGUGAAUAGUCUCAAGGAUACAAUAAAGCUAAUGUCUAACUUUCAUAUUGCCUCACGAAGUAGACCGCUAGAUACACUCGAGGGUUUGCAAAGCUUUUUGGCCUUAGAACCAACUUUCUACAACAAGUAGAUUGUAAGGAAUUCAGAAUAUCUUGUAGAUGAUGGGAACUUAAGUGUUUAUGUUUAUAACAAAACACAACACUUAUCUUGCUCUUGACUUUCUGCUCUUGUCUUGUUUAUGAUUUUUUAGUGUGUUAAAAUGAUUGGCAACAAACCUUUUAUAUAGGUUUUCAAGUGUCUCUUCUUCAAGGAUACAACUCUUUCAUAAAGACACCUUUUGUCUAAAAGGUAUCUCUACAUUUUUGCCAACACAACUUUUAGAUAAAGGUAUUAUUUCAAUAGUCACUUUAUGAAAAGAUAACUAUUCAUUCCAUAAGUUAUAACCUUUGAGUUGUAACUUGAAACAAUAACUUUUCAUAUUUAACUUUUAAGCAUGUGGUGUCUUUUCAAUAUGUCUCUUAACUUUUGGAUGUCAUUUUUCAAAGAGACAACUUUUUACAUGAAAACUUGCCUAUAUUCCAAUAGACAUAUUAUGUUACUUUUCGUGACAUAACUUUUGAGCUAAUGAUAGCUUUUUUGUCAUGUGACAUAGUCUUUAAUUUUGAAAAAGCACCAACAAUUUUUGUUCAAAAUAUUACCAAAAAAUUAUAUAUAACUGUGAAAUCUAUAAAGCACCCGAGCAUUUAGCUCAUUGGUUGGAGUAUGAUCUUCCUGUCUAAAGAGUAGGGUUCGAAUCCCCCCUCUCCCAAUUAUAAAAAAAAAAACUGUGAAAUAUGUAAAAGUUCUAUGCAAAUGGAUUUCUAACAACAAAAGUUAAUGAAAUAAAUAAAUGCAAAUUUAUUAUAGCGUGUUUUUUCCACUUGUUCAAAGGAAGAUUUGAUUUCAAUUGCAGCCACAGAAAUAAUUAGCAAAGCAAUAAAGAUAACACUAUCUUAACUCUUUUUUAAUCUUCCUCGUUAAACUGUUUUAUACAUAAUAUUUAAAAAAAUGACUUUUUUAUACUUACAAAAAAUAAAUAUAAGAUAUGGAAAUUGAUUUUUUUUUGAAGAGGAAAUUGAUCUAUUUUAUUUAAAUUAUAUUUUAUAUAUUUGCGAUGAAAUUUUGAAAUUCCAAAUUUUAUAACAUUAUUUAAGCGAUUAAAUAUAUAUAUAUAUUUAUUUAUUUAUUUAUUGAGGUGUUAUAUUAAUCUCCCUACCGUACAGAUAUACUUGGAUGAAUUAGAAAGAUUUCUUUUCUGUUAGUUUCGCUACCAAUUGGUCGGACAGAUUUUCUUCUUUCUUGUUUGAUUGCGUGGAAAAUCACCCAUCAGUCAUUGAGUUCUAUGAUAGGCUAUGUGUUAAACGUGUUCUGCGGUUUGGGAUUUAAUGAGUUGACUGACUUUUCAAAAGACGACAUGAAAAGAAUUAUUAUUUAAAUAUAACAUAUUUAAAUAAAUAUAUAUAUUUAUUUAAGAUAUGGAGAUUGAUCAAUUUUAUUUAGAAUUAUUAUUUUGUAUAUUUGCAAUGAAAUUUUGAAAUUCCAAAUUUCAUAACAUUAUUUAGGUCAUAUUAUAUAUAUAUAUAUAUAUAUAUUAUGUUAAGGGGUUACAUUGAUCACUGUGCGGAUAUACUUGGAUGAAUUGCCCAUGAGUGCUAUGGUAGGCUUUGUGUUAAAUGUGUUUUCUGGUUUGGGUUUAAUUAGUUGACUGACUUUUCAAAAGAAGACUUGGUUUUAACAAUAAAUCCAAGAUAACAUCAUCAUAGUGCGUCUUCACAAACUAAGCCCUUAAUCCCUUUCUCUCGCGCUGAAAUUUUAGGAUGCUAAGAGCAAAACUUCCAUUAUUCGGCCUUCUGGCCCUUGCUUUAUCUCUGUUCCCUGAUGCAUGCAUCGCUAGAGGCAAACACAAGCACUGUGGCUCUUCUUUCUGUGGAAACAUUAACAUCACUUACCCUUUUCGAUUAAAAAGUCAGCCUCGUAGUUGUGAUUACAAUCGUUAUGAACUAGUAUGCGAGAAUAACCGCACCAUUUUCCCCAUGAAAUAUGGGAAUUUCUAUGUCCAACACCUCUCUUAUAGUGACAAAACCAUUCAACUUUUAGACGUGAGUCUCGGCAACGACAACUGCUCCAUUCCUCAUAGUUCCUAUCCUUGGUACACCCCUUUCGCGAAAGAACUACAUCUCUAUCGAGCCACCACUGAAUAUAGCGUCAUGUAUCUCAUAAAUUGCACGAC
rnacentral:lncRNA from 1 species